GGGGCCAUCUCCGUAACAACAUGUACAGUUGAGCUACAUACUCCCGUUCAUUCCAUUUCACUGACUGUAGGAGUUUAGGUAAGGAUUGAGGAACUCGGAUACAGUAUUCUCUGUUAAAAUUCAAGUUAUAAUAAAUUGUAAUUAGUUUGAUUUAGCAUGAAAACUAUAUGUUACUUUUUCAAAAAAAAAAUACUGGUUUUACCUUGACCAGGAAUGCUCAAAGCCAAAUAUUUGAAAUCAAAGUCAAGGAUGUAUAAGGACUAGAAAAUUGGGANNNNNNNNNNNNNNNNNNNNNNNNNNNNNNNNNNNNNNNNNNNNNNNNNNNNNNNNNNNNNNNNNNNNNNNNNNNNNNNNNNNNNNNNNNNNNNNNNNNNNNNNNNNNNNNNNNNNNNNNNNNNNNNNNNNNNNNNNNNNNNNNNNNNNNNNNNNNNNNNNNNNNNNNNNNNNNNNNNNNNNNNNNNNNNNNNNNNNNNNNNNNNNNNNNNNNNNNNNNNNNNNNNNNNNNNNNNNNNNNNNNNNNNNNNNNNNNNNNNNNNNNNNNNNNNNNNNNNNNNNNNNNNNNNNNNNNNNNNNNNNNNNNNNNNNNNNNNNNNNNNNNNNNNNNNNNNNNNNNNNNNNNNNNNNNNNNNNNNNNNNNNNNNNNNNNNNNNNNNNNNNNNNNNNNNNNNNNNNNNNNNNNNNNNNNNNNNNNNNNNNNNNNNNNNNNNNNNNNNNNNNNNNNNNNNNNNNNNNNNNNNNNNNNNNNNNNNNNNNNNNNNNNNNNNNNNNNNNNNNNNNNNNNNNNNNNNNNNNNNNNNNNNNNNNNNNNNNNNNNNNNNNNNNNNNNNNNNNNNNNNNNNNNNNNNNNNNNNNNNNNNNNNNNNNNNNNNNNNNNNNNNNNNNNNNNNNNNNNNNNNNNNNNNNNNNNNNNNNNNNNNNNNNNNNNNNNNNNNNNNNNNNNNNNNNNNNNNNNNNNNNNNNNNNNNNNNNNNNNNNNNNNNNNNNNNNNNNNNNNNNNNNNNNNNNNNNNNNNNNNNNNNNNNNNNNNNNNNNNNNNNNNNNNNNNNNNNNNNNNNNNNNNNNNNNNNNNNNNNNNNNNNNNNNNNNNNNNNNNNNNNNNNNNNNNNNNNNNNNNNNNNNNNNNNNNNNNNNNNNNNNNNNNNNNNNNNNNNNNNNNNNNNNNNNNNNNNNNNNNNNNNNNNNNNNNNNNNNNNNNNNNNNNNNNNNNNNNNNNNNNNNNNNNNNNNNNNNNNNNNNNNNNNNNNNNNNNNNNNNNNNNNNNNNNNNNNNNNNNNCCCAUAGACAUAAUUAGUCAUGUGACCGUGACGUCAUCAACGUUUUUUCAUGGUUUUCUACGGUUUAAAAUGGAAUUUAGAAUUAAAUUAUAAGAAAUGACUAAUAUUUUUUUUUCUGUCUAUUCGAAAUAACAUAAAAAAUGGGGUGCACACUAUUAAAUAACCUGCUAUGUGCAUUAUUCAGUGUGCACCAAGUUUUUUAUGUUAUUUCUUCACAGACAGAAAAAAUAUUACAGUCAUUCCUUAAUAAAAUGCAAAUGCAUGCUCUUUUGGUUAUAAUUUGAUGUAUAAAGCACAUUUUGACCUGCAUUUCAAAUAAUGUGUCAUCUUUUAUCCUAGUUCGUGGUCAUUCUUUUGGUAGUUGGACGUUGCAAGUUUUAAUUUCAGUUUCCUGUUUAUGACCAAUCAUGCUAAUGGUAUGUUAACAAAAAUGUUGGUGAAUUGCGUAUAUGUAAAAUAAAAAUAAUCACACCAAUUUGUGUGCCUGUACCAAACUUGCCUAUCUGGACCACAUUUUUUUUUCUUUGUUGUUUGUGCAUUUAUUUUUUAGUCUAAGGUAGAUGUACUGUUGUAGAUUCCUGUUAUCACAAUCAGGAUUCUUCAGACAAAUUAAAAAACCAAAACAGUAAGCAUUUAAAAGAUAAAUAAAAGCCAAAUCACAUAAAUAUACAAACUUACUUUUUAAAUUCUUUGUGCUUUAGAGGUUGAUCUGAUCCUCUAGCAAUCACUCUUAUAAAGUCCAUUGUCAAUACAAAUGGUACUCUUUCUCGAGUUAUACCAAAUUUCUUUUUCCUAUGAUCCAAAAAAUGUCCAAAAUCUAUAUGGAAUACCUGUAAAGUAAAACAAGCUAUGUUGUAUAAAAACAUUCAUCUAGAGGCUGAUGUAAAAUUGAGAUCAUCAUCAAAGGAGAUUAUUCUGAAUACCAUAUAUAUAUUAUAUUGUCAUACCAAUUUUUAGUUAUCAUUUAGAUUAUUUGUUAUUUACUGCACAGAUUUGUUCAUAAAAAUAUCUUUUUAUAAAAACAAAACAUUUCUUUCAUUACUGUUCGAAAAUACAGGAAUAUUUCGCCUUGACUGCAUUUUUCAAGUGGACCCUUCCAACAACAAACAAAUGGAAGUUUUUAACGACCUUAACUGUCUAUACAUGAUAUGUUCACCCUUCUAUCCAUAUAAAGAUUGACAACUUUUUCUGAAUUUGCUAUUUUUGAAAAAUUUGACAACAUCUUUGCUAAAGCUAUAACUCUAUCAUACAGAUACACAAAAAUCAGGUAUUCCAAGUAUAUUAAUGCAUGCACAUUAUAUGUGGUUUUAAAUAUACCUGUCCAUUUUUCCUGACCAUUAUAUUUCCACUAUGUCUGUCUUUGAUACCCAGUAUAAACGUAGCUACACAGUAACCAGCACAGGAUCUUGUGAAGUUAGAAAUAGCUUGUUCUUCUCUGAAAAAAAUAAGCAAAUAAAAUAUCAAGGUUUAAUCCCAAUAAACUACACACAAUUCAGAUUUAUGGAGCACAAAUUGACAGAUAAUUGUUAAAAAUAUUAAACUUUAGCUGACUGUAAGCUGCAGGAAAUACAAAUGAAUGACUGUUCAAUCAUGCAUACCUAAUGAAAAAGAUGUUGAUUUUUUUCUAGUUUACAAACUAAACAUGUUGGAGAAAUGUUUGCAUUAUUUUGUUUAUGGUGGAGAGUUGUCUCACUGGCAGCCGUAACACAUCUUCUCACUUUUGUAUGGACCCUUUAUUUUUUAACUUCCUCCCUAUAAGUAUGAUCCCAGAAGGUUUAUAUGGACCCUUUAUUUUUUAACUUCCUCCCUAUAAGUAUGAUCCCAGAAAGUUUAUAUGGACCCUUUAUUUUUUAACUUCCUCCCUAUAAGUAUGAUCCCAGAAGGUUUAUGGACAUUAGACUAAUGGCUUGGCUGAUAUUUGCUUUAUGUAAGUCAGAUAGAUAUAUAUUUUUUUAUUUUUAAGUACAACUUGGUACAUAUACAUGAAAUACAAUAUAUUACAAAUUUAACCAUAGCCUUUAUAGGUUUAUGAUGCACUGUCAUUUAUUCCCAAAAUAUUAUAUGAAUAAAAUUCAAAUUCAUAUUAACCCUUAUUAUAUCUGAGGCUCAAUUCUAAUCAUUGUAUUAUGACAAUUAUUGAUGUUGUAAUGUUUAUGCCCUUUGGACCCAUAAUUGGAAAAUGAAAUAUCUUCUUCUUCUAUUAAAUAUGUUACACCAGCAACAAUUGCUAUUAUACAGCAAGAGCAUUUUAAUGAAUAUUAGGAGAAAAUAGUGUUGUUAAUUAAAAAAGACAAAAUGAAUCUAUGCAUCUAUCUACUGUACCUACCUAUCUUUAUUAUGGUACAUUAUCCAGUUAUACAACCCUAGAGAAUCCAUCUGUACCGCUGCUCGGAUACCAUUCUUCUGUUGUAUACUCAUGAUAGUGGAAGAAUCCCGUACUAUUUCUAUCACACCUACAUCUUUGCCAGUAGAUACCACACUAUACGGUAUCAACCUGAAAUGUUAAAAUUCUCUUAAACUUAAAAGUUCAAAUCCUUCUAACCAUAAUGUCUUAUAGACAACUAGGAGGUUGGUAAUGCCCUUUACUGUCAGGCAUCUAACGGUCAUUUUCGGCUACCGUUAGCGUCAAAUUGGUUAAAAUUUUACAGUGAUUUGUCAAAUAACCUAUCGUGAUUUGUCAGAUGUCUCUAAUAAUUAUUGUUACCGCAAUUUUUAUGUAAAAAAAUGUAAAAUAAGCAAAAGUUUCAAAGUCAAUAGACCAUGACUAAGGGGGAGGAGCUAAAUUAUCUCCAUGGAAUUGAGAUAUGCUGAUGCUUACACAACUAUAUACCAAAUAUCAUUGACCUACCACUUGUGGUUCCCCAUAAACUGACCUAAUCACAAACUAAUACAUGUAAAAAUAAGCAAAAGUUUCAAAGUCAAUAGACCAUGACUAAGGGGGCAGAGCUAAAUUAUCUCCAUGGAAAUGAGAUAUGCCGAUGCUUACACAACUGCAUACCAAAUAUCAUUGACCUACCACUUGUGGUUCCCAAUAAACUGACCUAAUCACAAACUAAUACAUGUAAAAUAAGCAAAAGUUUCAAAGUCAAUAGACCAUGACUAAGGGGGCAGAGCUAAAUUAUCUCCCUGGAAAUAAGAUGUGCCAAUGCUUAUACAACUGCAUACCAAAUAUGAUUGACCUACCACUAGUGGUUCACCAUAAACUAGAUAUAAUCACAAACUAAUACAUUGUUGACGCUGCCGACACCAGAAACAGCAUACCUAUAUCUCGCUUUUUUACUCCAUCAAGGCGAGACAAUAACUACGUCUGAACCAGUGACAACAGAUUUAUCCAUCGGAUCACCAGCAGUGAUGGUGAUACAUGGCUGUGUACAUUCUGUAUAUAUAACUUAUCUAAACAUCAGCCCAACAAUGUUAGAUCUGUAAAUUUGCUUUCGCAAAUGUUUUGUUCUUCCCUUGUCGGGAUUCGAACCCAUGCUACUGAGAUAUCGUGACACUAAAUAGCCUGCACUGUAACUUACGCACUAGACCACACAACCACACAACCACCUGGGCUUUAUAAUAAUGAAGCUUUCGGUGGCGAUGUUACCUUUCCAUGUCAGUUUUUAAUCAAGCGUCGUACAACAGUACAUGAAAUAUAAGGCUUGAAGAUGUUAUUUUUACAGAUCAGCUAAAUUAUCUAUUGUAUAGGAUCCUACAAAUUAAUGUAAGAUAGUCACAGAAAUAAAAAUAUUUAUAAGUACGUCUGAACCAGUGACAACUCUACAACAGAUUUAUCCAUCGGAUCACCAGCAGUGAUGUUGAUACAUGGCUGUGUACAUUCUGUACAUACAACUAGUCUAAACAUCAGCCCAACAAUGUUACAUCUGUAAAUUUGCAAACGCAAAUAUUUUGUUCUUCCCUCGCCAGGAUUCAAAAUCAUGCUACUGAGAUAUCGUGACACCAAAUCGCCUGCAGUGUAUCCGAUGCACUAGACCACUCAACCACUUUGGCUUCAAUAAAAUAAAGCUUUCAGUGGCCGUGUGUUACCUUUCCACGUCAGUUUUAAUCUAGCAUCGUAAUACAGUACAAAAUAUGUAAGGCAUGAAGAUUGUAUUGUUACAGAUCAGCUGAAUUAUCUAUAUUGUAAAGGAUACUUCAAAUUAAUGCAAGAUACUGUCACAGAAGUAAUUACAUUUAUAAACCAGUGACAACUUUACAGAUCUAAAAUUCUUGGGCUGAUGUUUAGAUGAGUUAUAUAUAUAUAUAUAUAUAUAUAUAUAUAUAUAUAUAUAUAUAUAUAUAAAAUCCUCAAUGAACUUGACGAUAAAAAAUUGAUGUUUACAUCAAACAUAACACAUUACUGUUUUCAAAUUUACCUCAGAUCUAAACCUUCAUUUUUCCAUAAAGUGUCCAUAAUUUUAAAUAACUGUACAGUAAGCAUGUCCUGACGUAAAUCUAAAAAAUAUAUUGAACAAGGUUAAUAUCAAGAGCUUUUAUAACGAACAUGAAUGUGUCCAAAGUACACAGAUACUCCACUUGUAUUAUCAUUUUCUAUACUCCACUUGCAUUAUCAUUUUAUAUGUUCAGUGGACCGUGAAAUUUGGGUUAAAACUAUAAUUUGGCAUUAAAUUAUGCAAGAUCAUAUCAUAGGGAACAUUUAUACUAAGUAUCCAGUUGAUUGGACUUCAACUUCAUCGGUGGGGCAUAAAAAUAAUCUAAAUAUAAAAAAAAAGAUGAGGUAUGACUGCCAAUGAGACAACUCUCGACAAGAGACCAAAAUAACACAGAAAUUAACAACUAUAGGUCUGUCACUGUACAGCUAUCAACAAUGAGCAAAGCCCAUACCUCAUUAUCUAAAUUUUGAAUCCAAAGAAAUUAAUAUUUCCUGAUUAAUUAUAAUUUAUAAGAAAGUCAUAUUUCCUUAGACAUAUACCCUUUGCCGAAAUAGAAAUUGUUGAGAGUGGCAUCAGUUAUUUGUAGAUGUAGAAAUAUUCAUCCAUUUUUGAACAUGUUGGUCUAUUCUAGUUAAAUUCCUGAGACUUCAGCCAUUUCACACAGUCCCAGCUUCAACAUUCAACACCAAAAUUACCAGAUCAAUUCACAUAGGCUAACUUCUUAUAAUCUCCAUGAGAGAUUCAAGCACAAAGGACUAUUAUACAAUAGUAAGAUCAAGUAUUUAUUCAUUAAAUGACAUUUUCAUCCCUAUGCAUGCAUUUUUUUUAGGUAUUCAGGUAAUACAGGAUUUAACUUACAGCAGAUUCCAACGAGUAUGAAGCUACAGGUAGAUUCUUUGGUUAGCUUCCUUGUUAGCUCAACCAUGAAAUGAUUAUUACCUCAAAAUUGGGAGGAGCAUAGCACCAAUUCAUCAUCCAAUGAAAACACUCAUAUCAAUGGCCUGUUUAUAAUAUGUAUGUUUCAUACAAACAGGUUUCCCUUAACAACUUUGCAAAUUAAAUUUCAUUUCUUAUAGUUUUUGAUUGAAUUAAAAAAUUCUAUCUAUUACAAUAAAUUAGAAGCGGAGUUACGGUUUAUGUUUUGUUCAAGGAUGAUGUACCCUUGUGUUGAUUUAAUGCUAAACAAAUGGAAAUUUUAUAGAAAAUUCACAGCAUUUCCUUUGCACUUUCAUUGUUGACAAUUUAGUACUUGAUAUAUGGAGGAUUUUUUGCAAGCAGUACUAGCAAUGAUUUCAUUAAAACAAGUUUAUAAAUUUAGAUAUUGGUUUAAACAAAUAUAUAUAUGGACCAAUUCAAGUACACCUUCUAGGGUGCGCUCGAAUUUUGUGACUUGGGACGAUUUUUUUUCAUUUACAUUAACGGUUGUCUAGGACUUUUUGUAAACAAUAAACACUAGCACAUCAUAGAAAAUCAAGUGUCUGAGUAAUCUAUGCUUAAAAUUUUAUAACAAAAAUAUCUGUGGAUUUUCUACAAAAAUCUUGGUUUAUUUGACACAAAAUCCCGUUUAACUUUUAAAUGCAAUAAAACUACAAAUAAUAAUGCUUGAUCGAAGUUUCCUCAUUGUAAAUGUACAAAAUAGCCCAUCUCUAUUAUACAUUAUCUUUGCUGUUUUUAUAUUAUUGCAGUUUGAAACAUUCGUAAUUCAAAGGCUACAGAAGGGAUCAUUAACCUUAUACAUACACAUAACUGGAUUUAUAAAUGAACUGAGUAAUUGAUUAAAAUAAAAUUGACAAAUCAAACACACCUACAACAUGCGUGUGAAUUAGCUUAUAAUUAUCACUAAAUUUUAAAUUUAGAUUGAACACUUAUUUUUAAACUGACUUGUAAAACUAGUUUUACACUAUUUAAUUCUGUCACAAGUUCUGAUUGGUUCUCUGCUAACUAUUAAACUCCACCCCAAAUGAUUGUUGUACCUUACCUUAUAAGGUCUAAUAAUGAUUUCAUGGUUGAGCUAGCAAGGAAGCUAACCAAAGAAUCUACCUAUAGCUUCAUACUUGUUGGAAUCUGCUGUAAAGUCAUAUCCAUAUCUCUCAUAGGGGUUAUAUAUAUAUGCAAAGUACACAUGCACAUAUUAUAUACUCUCUACUAUAUCCAUAUACACUAUUAGUAUAUGGACUAUAAAAUUUCAAAUUUCAAGUUACAAUGUGACAGCAUCACAAAGUAUUUUGCAUAACACUAGAACUACCGCAAUAACAAAGGACUCAAUAUUUUAAUUUCAUAACAAUAAACAAGGUUAAAUUCAGACAUUAAGAUGACUCAAAUAUUUACAUUUAUUUAUUAAUUUUUACUAACAAUGAUUCAAAGUGUUAAUAGUUUUCUGUUGCUUUGAAAUUCAAGUUAUCAAUGAUGAUUAUUUUCUCAGUGAAAUAAAAAUAUUGUUAUUUAGAGAUAAAAGACAUAUUUAAAGGGAAAUAAUUGUGUUUUUUCAUGGUUUAUCUCCCUUUCAUCUGAAGGCUAUCUUUAAGCAGAAAAACCAAUGCAUUCUAAGGGAUUCCAAGAAACUUCAUUGGUUUACUACAAAUUUCUUUUAUAUCAUAGAGUUUUCAUCUUAUUUGUAUAGAGAAAAUGAUUAUAUGUAUUUCUGUGUGUUAAUGACAAUGUGCAGUUGUUUUUUAUCAUUAUCCAAUAUUUGUCAGAUUACAAAAUCAUUAACCAUGCUUCUGAAGUGAUGAAUUAUAUAUAAGACUUAAAACAUACCAUCUCCAUUUUUAAAUAUAAGUUUAUAGUCUGUAAACCAUAUAUCAGCCAUGACAUCUGGGUUGCUAAACACUAGCCAUAAUGGUUUCUUUUUAGAUGUCAUUACUGAACAAUGCGAAAUACUGAAAAAGUGAGAGAGAAAUAAUUGCACUUAGUACAUAUUUGUGUAUAUAAUACUUAGUUCAAAUUAAUCAAUAAUAGAAUACAUAACAGAUUGUGAAGUGAAUGUGUUUGUGGAGUAUAAAGUGACACUUGUUUGCAUGUAGUUAAUUUGAGUUUUACCCAUAAUCCACCUUUCUAAGAAAAUACUUUGUGGAUCUAUAUCAGAAUAUGUUCCAUUCCCCUAAAUUCAGAGAAGGAAAGAUGGUUUCAAUAUCCUUAAUAAUCAUUUGCAUAUUGUACGUGAUUUUGGCAUGUUUUUUUUCUAGUGAUAGAGUGAAGUAAUCUGAACUCUUUAAAAGACAAGAAUGUGUCCAUAGUACACGGAUGCCCCUCUCACACUAUCAUUUUCCAUGUUCUGUGGACCAUGAAAUUGGGGUCAAAACUUAAAUUUGGAAUUAAAAUUAGAAAGAACAUAUCAUAGGGAACAAGUGUAUUAAGUUUCAAGUUGAUGUGACUUCAACUUCAUCAAAAACUACCUUGACCAAAAACUUUAACCAAAACUUUAACCUGAUCUUCGCACUAUCCUUUUCUAUGUUCAGUGGACCGUAAAAUUGGGGUCAAAACUUUAAAUUCGGCAUUAAAAUUAGAAAGAUCAUAUCAUGGGGAACAUGUGUACUAAGUUGUAUGUUGAUUGGACUUCAACUUCAUCAAAAACUACCUUGACCAAAAACUUUAACCUGAAGCAGGAAGGACAGACAGACGGACGGACAGACGGACGAACGAACAGACGGAACCACAGACCAGAAAACAUAAUGCCCCUCUACUAUCAUAGGUGGGGCAUAAAAACAUAUUGCCCCUCUACUAUCGUAGGUGGGGCAUAAAAACAGAAUUUUCUUUGAAAUUCCUAGAAAACAGAUACCUGUUUACAAAAAUAUUGCUUUUUCAGUAGAAUAUACUUUUUCAUGUAGCAUAAGUCUCCUCACAGCUAUGAGUCAUAUGAUGUUGUUGUUUUAAUUUUAAUUUUUUUGUUAUUGUGUAGGUUGGUUGCUAUCUAUUACAUGAUUACUGAUAUUAAAUUGUUUAUAAAGCUGAAAUUAAUGGAGAAAAAAAUUAAUGCAUACACGUUUAUCUUGGGGCGUCGGUGUCCGAGUGGUCUAAGUAGUUACUACUGUAAUCACUAGCCAGUCAACACUGAGGUUGUGAGUUAGCACCCUGCUCGUGCAGGUGCACUCAACUCUUAUCUUAAUUGACUUGGAUCGUCAGUUUUCCUAUGGAAGGUCGAUGGUUUUAUUCGGCUUCCUCCACCAAUAAAAACUGACUGCCACGAAAUAGCGCACCUAAAUGCGGUACUUAAAAGUGGCGUUAAUACACGAAAAAUCAAAAUCAAACCACAUUUAUCUUUAGUCAUGACUUACUCUAGAUCUCCUAGUAUAUGACUGUUAUCAAGGGGAGAUAAGAAGUUUUUAAGUCCAUCUUGGUAGUCUGGUUGCUGCAAUUGGUUGGCGAGAAACUUCAUAAUUUCAUUAAUGUCCUGUAAAGUAAGAUUAAAUAAAUUCAAUAAUUUAAAUUGUUUAAAUUUUUCACUAGAAAGCAAUUAGUCUGUAACAAAGCAUUAUAAACUUGAGAAUGGAAUAUACAUAAAUUCACAUGUACUGUUUAAAUUAUGUAAAAUAAAUUAUAAUGAUAUUUUCAUUCAUUGUUGUUAUUAUUCAUUGCUUUAUCAGCUUUUUGAAUUAUUCUUGAGAAAACUAGAUGUGUCAAAGUGACACAAAUGGCUCCGUCUCAAAAAGUUGAAAAAUCUGCAAAUUUCAAUAACACAUGUGGACACAAACAGCUCAAAAUCUGGAGGUGUAUAGUUGGUAUAACUGUUUCAACAAUUUUCAAAGUUGUAACCCUUAAUUUUGGCAAUAAUUAGCGGAGUGGAACAAAACUUUAACUUGAUCUGUAACUCAUCAUGAGUAACUCACAUACCAAAAAUCAGCCAAAUAUCUGAAGGCGUUUAGAAAAAAAGUCUGUAUAACUAUGAUUUUCAACAAUUAAUCAAAGCCCAUAAUUUCAGCAAAAAUUAGCAGAGCAGAACGAAACUUAAAAUUGAUCUGUAACUCAUCAUGGUUAACUCACAUACCAAAAAUCAGCCCAAUAUCUGAAGGCGUUUAGAAAAAAACUCUGUAUAAUGUUUUGUUGCGGAAUGACGGAAUGACGGAAUUUCGGAAUUACAGAAUUAAGGAAUUAGGAAAUUUCAGAAUUUCAGAAUUGCAGAAUUACAGAAUUUCAAAAUUUAGAAUUACGGAAUUUUGGAAUUACAGACAAGGGUAAAACUAUAUGGCACCGACAACUUCGUUGCGGGGCCAUAAAAAUUAUUCAUGAAAAAUAUGUAGUCAUUUUGAACUUAAAUAUAUACAUGGUAUAACAUUUUAUCAUAAGACUUUUCUUGCCUAAUUAAACAUUGUAUCCCAAUAAACUAAUUUUAUCUUUGUUUUCACCCGAAUAAUUGUUCAUUUAUGAAUUUUCUUAAAGACCAGUUCCACUUGGUUUUUAAAAAAAUCUUUUUUGAUUCCCUUACACCAACAUGGUUUGAUUUUUUCAUGUUACAAAUAUUUCUUUUCUCCUUUUAAUCACUUACAUCCUUGACUUCAUUUUUGAUCAUAUUAGUAAGUUUAGUGAGUUUAUCUAGAGCCUCCACUUGUCUCAGUAACAUCUUGAGGUUGGAUCCACACCCUCGACAAAAUGCUUCUAACACCAAACCAAAUCUUAACUGGAUUGAUGUAUUAUGGAUUUCUGACCUGGUCAAAUAAAUAAAAUAUAUUUACAUUUUAAAGUAGUGAAGUGAAAAUUGUGCACCUAUGAAUUUUUUCAGAGCUUUUGGUUCCAGUAUAAUUUCGGCCCCCAAAAAGGUGUAGUUUUGUGUCUGUUUUAUUUGUUCUCAAGUGAUUCAAAUUUACUGUGGAUUCAUUCAUUUUGAUGGGUACCAAUUUUCGUGGAUUGAAGAAAACUAGCAUUUUGGUUGGAUAUUUAAUACCAUUGUUUUGGCAAAGUCUGCAUACAUUCCUUAUGAAAACUAAUAAUUCAUUGAACAUUUAAAUUUGUGGUACCUCUGUACCCAAAAAAUCCAAAAAUAUUGGUAUCCAACAAAUAUUUAAUGAAUUUAUAGAAGUAUGAUUAAGAAUUUGACAAGUUGCAUAGACAUCUGUCAAUUGUUGAAGACUCAAUGUUACCUUCUAGAUGUCUUUUUUUGGUUAUUUUUGUUGUUGGAUUGCUGUCUCAUUGAUUAAAGCUUCACAUCUUCUUUGAUUUACAUCAUAAAAUAAAAUUGUCAAAUUUCUGUAGGAUGUAAAGUUUAUCAUACUUACUUCAGAUGCCAGAAGAACAGUUGUCCUGUUUUCUGAUUUUGUAGAGCUCUCUUCAGAAGGAAUCUUGUAAUUGGACUGUCUAAAUACGGCUCAAAUUUCAGUGCCUAAAAUAAAAGAGAGGCACAUACAGUUAUCAAAGAUAUUUAUCUUCAAGUACUAACAAGACAAAGUAACAGAGAAUAACAUAUGGCAAUAUCGCAUCUGUAUCUCAACCCGAGACACCAAUAUAAUCCCAAGAGCUCUGCUCGAGGGAUUAUAUUGGUUGAGGGUUGAUACAGUGUGUGAUAUUGAAAAAUCCAUAUCAUAUGCACUUUAUCAUAUACAUAUAUCUCAAGUAGAUGUUUUUUAUGUGACAUGACGUCAUACAGAUAAGGAGGAUUGAAAUGACGUAAUACAGAUUAUAGUGACAGUGACUGCAAUGGAUGACGUGACGUCAUACAGAUUAAAGGUGUGAUAAAGCUUUUGCAACCGUGCUGAUAUCAAUAUCAUCACGGGUGGCUGAUACAGCACGCUUGCAAUUGAUUGUAUUACACAUACAAUUUGUCUGUAUUAACUACUAAGUAUAUAAUAAUGAUAAAUAUCUAAGUUCAUCGAUUGUAUGAUUUUUCUCAAAAUUUGAAGAGAUAUUUUAUUUUUCAGUGUAUCUAAAAUAAACUUAUAUUUUCUGCAAGCUAUUCUAGAUGCUUUAAUGUGAAGUUUUUGUAGAAGUUCGAAAAUAUUGUUUAUGUUUUUUAUUACAAAAAUCAAUUAAUUGGAAGUUGACACAAACAUGGGAAAGGACAACACAAUAUUCAAAGGCAUUUAUAAUUUUUUGGUAUUUGUGUACAUUGUCAAACAUUCCAAUAAUAAAUGCACCUAAAAAUUCCUGAAUUUACAGUACUUAUUGACAUGCAAGAUUGUUUUCAUGUAAACAAAACUUGCCAUAAGGUAAGAUGACAUAGUAAAAUGGAUCUAAAUGGGAUAAAAGCCAAGUGCACUGCGCUUGGAGCAAUCUGUACUAAUUAUCUGGUGUGACUUUAUGGUCAGAAAGUGUACAGUUAGUUCAUCUUCCUUGUAGGCCUGUUCUCAGGAUGUCUCUAAGGUAGGUUAUUUGUGGUCAAGACCUCUUAAUCACCCAGGUUACAGGUAUGCCUUAGUUCAGUUAAACAUUAUUUGUUUACUUGUUGAGAUGAAUCAAAUAUCACGUAAGCUGCAUCAGAUAAAAAUCGACCUUAUGCAAGUGCACUUAUACAUGUACAUGUAUAAGACUGACUGAUUUUUUAACUACUAAAUAACAGAUGAAUUUUGGUCAGUGUUGUAGGGUUCUAAUAACAACUAAAUUCAAACAGUUGCAGACUUUCCAUAGAGAUUUUUACCCCCCCCCCCAAAAAAAAAAAAAAAAAGUAAGCAGAUUAUUGAUAUUUAUAUGCAUAAGCUUGAUUCCUAGCAGAUGUGGCUCACAUGAUGAAAUCAUAAUAGUUUAUGGAUAUAAGUAAUAAUAUAUAUAUCAUGCAAUUCACCAUUUUUUAAUGUACAAAUAGUAUCCCUUUUGUGAAAAUGCAUAUAAAGUAUGAAAAAUUAACAACCUACCUGCACUAACUGUAACAUAUACUGUUGUAAUUUAUCAUCAGAGAAUCCAUGAUCCAGACACGUAACAGCAUACUGUCUGACACACAGAUCUGGGUAAGAACAAUCAAGCAACUCCAUGGCAAACUCUGGAAUCAGUCUUGGCCAUCGUCGUAACAACAUGUACAGCUGUGCUACAUACUCCCUCUCAUUCCAUUUCACUGACUGUAGGAGUUUAGGUAAGGAUUGAGGAACUUGGAUACAGUAUUCUCUGUUAAAAUUUAAAUUAUAAUAAAUUGUAAUUAGUUUAAUUAAGCAUGAAAAAUGUUUCUUCAUAAAAUCAGGGAUAAGGUAGAUUUUUCAUUUUUAUGGGAUAGCAAUUUUUGUAGUUUUCAUGGUAUAGUGUAACCAUUAAUUCAAAUGAUAAACAAAUUUGAUAUAGGUUUUUUGUGGCAAAAAAAACCCCAAAAAAUCAUUUUAAACGUGAAAAAACAAUGAAAAAACGUUGAUGACGUCACGGUCACAUGACAAAAUUAUGUCUAUGAGCUGAUAAACAAAACAACGUCAGCCAAUCAGAAGACGUGUUACCUCCAAAAUUGUUACCUCCAAAAUUAAAUUAUUGAUAUUUAGAAUCUUUGUAUGUAUGAAAAUACCUUAAACAACUUCAGAUCAGUUUUUUUUUUUUUUUUUUAAUCAUGUUAAUCAAUUAGUACAGAUAAAUCUCAAUUAUGUAGUAUUUUUUCAGCUUUUACCUCAAUUUCCAUAGAAUAUCUUUUUCUUGUUCUGAUAUUUCUGAUAGUGGAUCUCUACUUGUUAUAUCAUCCACCAUAGCUUGCUCUUUUGCUUGUAUUUGGGGUGUGUCCUGUUAAAUUAAAAUCAUAUUAUCAAUGCAUAACUAUAAGUUCACCUUUCAUGGUAAAAUUCAAUGAUUUUAUCUAAAAGAAUUAACAAAUUACAAUGGUCACAAAUAUAAUAUAUACAAUUUUUUCUUCAAAACAUAAAGUUAUGCAUAUACCAUAUAUAUGUCAAAAGCCUGUAAUUAAGUGGAUGUCCUUUGUUUUUGCUAUAUAUUAUAUUUAUUUUUUUAUUUAUUAUUUUGUACAUGAAUCAAGCUGUUAGUUACUUGUUAGAAUUUUUUUACAUUUGUCAUUUCAGGGCCUUUUAUAGCUGACAAUGCGGUUAGGGUGAACUCAUUCUUGGAGGCUGAACGGUAGCCUAUAGUUGUUAAUUUCCGUGUCAUCUGAUCUCUUGUGGAGAGUUGUCUUGAAUGUGAUAAGAUAUUCUUAAUCCUUUGUCAUAUUCUAAAUUUUCCUGACUCUAAUCCAGAAAUAUGAUAUUCUUAGAGAUGCUCAAGUUGAGUCUAUUUCUCUAAAACAUUGAUGUGUCAGCAUUAUUCCAACGAUUUAAAAAAGAUCAUGUUUUAUCUAUUCAAUUCAUCAGGUUGUCUUUUUUCAUGACCUAACAAUCACUGAGAAUAGCCGAAUCUUAUGGAAGCAUGAAAAUAAAUUUGAGGUGAUAAUCAAAUUUUGACCAAUGAAGAACUGACUUAUCAACUGAUAAGUGAAAAUUAUAAAUUCACUAACCAGAUAAAUGAGUGGUUGUUCUUUGCUGAUGGCGUAUUGAGCUAAAUCUUCAAUCUGUUUCUCUGGAGGAUAUGACACAGGAUGACUUAGUCUGUCAAACUCUAUCUCUAGACAUGGGGUUUCUUGGUCUGGAUUGGAACCUAAAAAUAAACAAAUCAUUUAUGGAAUCUGAAGAAUAGUUAGAUUAAACAGUAUAUUAAUAAAAUAAAUUGAAGCCUAUGUAAAUGAUUAAUAAAAUAAACUGUUGCCACAGACAUAUGUCUCCCUUUUUGCAAUUUUGAAUGUAAAAUGCAAAUAUUUAAAUUAUGAUGGCAUAAUAUGUUGUAAUAUGUUGUGAUAUGAUUAGUAUAUUUAAGUAUUUAAUGGAAAUGUGGAACAUAUCAAGGAGUUGGUUAACCAAGCCAAAUCCUACUGAUGAAGUCUUUAAUCUUUUAGUUAAGGUGAAUUUUGUUGUUUUUUUAACUGCCCCUCCUCUUUUUUUUUAAAAGAGCUCAUCUUGAAUAACCUUCUGCUGUCCCUUUUAUAAUCAGGGAUCUACCAAUAAGCUUGAAAAUACCAAUUUAUAUGGAAUGUUGUAAGGUUACAUUUUUGACCAACAGGUGGCAUUUAAUAACUUUCCUAUUCUUUACAAAAUAUUAAAAUAUUUUCUAUUCUAUGAACUGAUAUACCUAUUGGUUAUCCCUGCAAGUCCUGAAUAUGUAUGGCUAUAUUAUCUAGAUGUAAGAUUUUAAAAUACUCCAAAAAUCAAACUAUUUAUCAUCCCAAACAAAUAGCAAUCAUUUAAAUUGUCAGAGCUAACAAAGAAAUCCAUACAUUUCUUUCUGAAUAUGAUAUACAAAAUACACCAGUGGGUCCAUAACAAUUUUUCAUAUUUUAUUCUUACCUGGGAGACCAACAUAAUUCAAGAGGUCAUCCAUUCCCUGAGGUAACGGCCACAGAUUCAAGCUGACCUUUUCGUUCAUAAGUCUAUCGUUGAAAUCAAAUAGCUGCAGAUUGGCCCAUCCUAAAGAUAAGGGUUCCUAAAUAAUAAGAUUCAUAUAUUUUUUUCAUUAAUUUGAAGAACAACAAGGCAGAUAUUGUGUAGGGCGUUGAAAAAUAUUGCUGUUGUGAUAUUUUCUUAAUAUGUUUGACUAUAAAAAAUAAUAAAUUGAUAUCAGAGAUCAUUUCAUAAAAUUAAAACAAUGAAUAGAUAGGAAUUUUGUAGUUCCUUGACAAUUUACAUAUUGGCAUUCAUUUCAUGAAGUCGCAAUUAGUACAAAUUUUUAUUUUCCUGGAAAUUCAAUAAAAUAAGGUCAAUCUUAUUUUAGUUUGUCAAACCAGGGGUGUUUUAUGUUUCUUAGACCUAAAUGUGGAAGAAAUCCACACAAUUUCUAAACUUUCACCAUUCUCUGUUUCAAAGUUAAAUAUUUACUGAUUUUAUUUCACUGGAACUAAAUUAAAGAAAACCUACCCUCUUUUUCUUGGAUGUAUAGCAAAUAGAUAAACAUAGUUUAGCACUUCUAGGUAAGUCCUGUAUGUACAAAAACUCUAACCAUUCAUGCCACUGGGGAUUGUUGGAGUCAACCAUUUUUGUAUCUUGGAAUUCACACAGAGCUUCUGUUCCAUGGUAAAUUCCUGCUUUAACAUAUAUCUGAAACCACAAUAUAAGAAAUUAAAAAUUACAAAAUCAGAGCAAAACCUUAAUAUACUUACUUAUUUGAUUCAUGUUUAAAUUCGAUAAAUAAUAUGUAUCAUUAUUUCAAAUUAUAAAUGUAGGAAUUUUUUUUGGUAAUCCUUAUAGACCUUUCAGAGUAUUGUAAAUUUUGAAAACUAUGUGACGUCUUAUUAUUGCAAAUAUUGUGACAGGAAAGUUUUUGCACAACUGAACUGUUUGAUUGCUGUUGAUGUUCUUGGCUAUAUUGUGGUGUUCUUAUUUGUAUAUGAAGUUUUAGUACCAGGAGAAAACACUUUGUAUAUGAAGUUUUAGUACCAGGAGAAAACACUUUGUAUAUGAAGUUUUAGUACCAGGAGAGAACACUGACAUUUGGCAGAAAAAACAUAAAUCUUAGUCAAUGAAGAUAGAAGUCUAUUAUUUCUGCCACAAUCAGGGCUCAAACUUCUAACCCCAGUGUUGACAUACUGUAGCUGAGCUACUUAGAACUCUCAGCUAUCAAGGAUGGGAUAGCCUUUAAAUUUUCUUUAAGGUACAUGCACUAGGAAGAAUGUUCAUAAAACGUUCAUUAAAGGAAAGAUCUGACUAUUAACAAAGAGAUUAAAUGCCAGACAAUAAAUAGAAAUAUAUACAUUAGAAUCGUCUUUGUUCAUAAAAAAAAAAAAUCUAUCAACAGUUAUCUACCUUUCCAAGUUCUUUUACAUUGACAUAAGUGGCACAUAAUAUUUUAAUUCUAAGUUUGGCAUGAAUUUCCCACAGAGAUAGUGUCUUUUGUUGGUUAAUUUCUGUUAGUAGCUGCAUCCCUGUAAAAUAAAAAAGAUUUAAAAAAAUGUUAUCGCUGAAUUUGGUAUUGGUUUAAGUUUUGAGAAUUUGGUAUUGGUUUAAGUUUUGAGAAUUUGGUAUUGGUUUAAGUUUUGAGAAUUUGGUAUUGGUUUAAGUUUUGAGAAUUUGGUAUUGGUUUAAGUUUUGAGAAUUUGGUAUUGGUUUAAGUUUUGAGAAUUUGGUAUUGGUUUAAGUUUUGAGAGGAAUAAAACCCACAAAAUCACAAUUUGUUGAAGUAAUAAAGAAAAUAUCUGCGAUGACAAGAAACAGGACUGACAGGUCAAAAACAUUAUAACCUCCACAACUUUGUUGCAUGGGGUAUAAUAAUUCUGUACAUUAACAGUUUCAUAAACUAUUUUUUUUAACUGUUUUUCAAGCUAUGCUGUACAAUUCUGUAUCAUAAGUCCUGUCAUUUUGGUCUCUUGUGGAGAGUUGUCUCAUUGGAAACCAUACCAUAUCUUCUUAUUUUUACAAUAAAAGGGUUAGGGCAUGAAUAUUGUAGAAUAUUAUUCCUAGUUCAAUAUUUUUGUCAUAAUUGACAAUUAAAUGAUUUUGUUCUUAAGAAAAGGAAAAUUUCUAAAGUAGAAAAAAAGAAUAGACAAAUCAAAAUUGAUGCAAUGAAAUUAAUCCAAGGUAUUCAUGAUAUAUUGUUUGACAAUGGGACCAGUAAAUCCAUAUGUCAAUCUGCAAGAGACUUUCAUCUUGGUCCAUAAUAUCAGUUUACAAAAUGUGAGAAUCACAAACUUAUUGGCUGUUUAUAGCAAUCUUCUUAUGUUAAAUUGGUACGUACCUUUCUGUGUAUAUGAUGGUGUUAUAAAUAUAUUAGGUGAUAUGGCUGCAUAUAAACUUUCCUUUGUUAAUAACAUAAACUGGUACAUACCUUUUUGUGUAUAUGAUGGUGUUAUAAAUAUAUUAGGUGAUAUCGCUGCAUAUAAACUUUCCUUUGUUAAUAACAUAAACUGUGGUAUAUUAUCUCUCGCUAUACAUUCUCUCACAUACUGAAAAAUAUCAUAUAAAUAUAUUUAUUACUAUUUUGAUUAGGCAAAAAAAAUAUGUUCUGAUUCCUUGCUUCUUAACUGGCCAAUUCAACACAUUUUAAUGAAAAUUUUGGUUAUGCAUCUUAAAGUCCAGAAAAUUUUCCUAUUUGGUCUAUGAUAUACAGCGUGUUUAAAAUUCAGUACCAUAUUUUUAUAUUUUUUCAUACAUUAUUGUUGCAUGAAGUGACAUUUCACUUUUUCUUCUUUUUUUUUAACUUGUCAACAAUUCCCCUUCAAUUCAAAGGUAUGUUUCUUUAAUAUUAUAAUACAUGAUACUAACCUUAUACUGACUUAACGGAUGCUCCUCUAAUAAGAACUGAUCACAACCACACACUUUAAGUGCAUAAGUGUCACUAUAUUCUUCUAUACAACGUUCAGCGUGUUCUUUAGAAAUUCCCAUCAUUCUGCUUCUCCGCCGAAUUGUUCCAGCAAUAACAUCAAUUGGAUAGGCGUCAUGUGAAACUUUUACACUAAAUUUACUACGACUAUUGUCUUCUGAUACAACCCAAACACAUGCCACAACAUCAUUUUCUGAAAUAGAUAAAAGUUUAAUGAGAAUAUGCAUUCACGAUGCCGUUUGUUGGUUUUCUGUAUUUCUUAUUUGUUUUAUCUUUUUUUGUUUUGUACAGGUCUGACAGUAGAUUUUUUGUUUCAUUUAUUUUUUACAUUUGUCUUUUCUGGCCAUUUCAUAGCUUUCUGUGCAGCAUGGGUUUUGCUCAUUGUUGAAGGCUGUAAGAUGACCUAUGUAAAUAGAAAAGGUUUGUGCAGAACCAUUGUAUUCAUUCUUACAAUAUUAAACCGAAUGGCAUACAGAUGCUGAUGUUAUUCAAUUUUGUCUAAUCAUUGUAAGCAUUGUGCGCUGGUUGACCCAAGAAUCUUUGCUGCUUGAACUUUUUACAUCCUACAACAAUCAUUUUUUGCAUUGUGUCGGAUGAUAUUUUGUAUUAUGACGUCAAUAUUUUACAAGAACCAUUGUGAUGUCCAGUAAGUGCCGACAAAUAGCGAUAAGGUGUAUACAGCUUAGUAUUGACUUUUUUCCCCUUUUUUUUUCUUACAUCUUGCAUUGUCAUUUCUUCUAUACUUAUGCUUCAUCUCCAACUACUAAUUACCAGUGAUUACACCACAACCUCUUUUUUUAUGAUAUGCUUUCAAAAUAUUGACACAAGAGAGAGUAAAAAAAAUGCAGCCAAACUGUUAUAUCUAUAUACUUACUCAUUUCUUUAAUUUUUGUCUGUAAAUGUGACGGUAAAAUGGGUGAUGAUUCUAUAUCUGGUGGGUAGGCAUAUAAGGCCUCGCUUGCCUUACCCCGUCGCUGACGAUCAUCAAUUGCAUUCUUACAAAUGUCUAAAAUAUUCCUCCGGAAUGUCAUCACUUCUAAGUCUUUCAUUUCAUUAAAUUCAUUUAUAGAAACACCUAUAGUUACACCUGUUGGAAGAGAAAUUAAAAGGGUAACAAUUUAAAAUCUGAAUCUUAAAUAAAGAUACCUAACAUGUACAGCACAUGUAAGGCAAUUUAACAUAACUUUGAAGAAUAACCGAAAAUAUAAUGACAAAAUUAUGUACUGUGUCGUCAGAAGUUUCUUUCUUUUACAACACAGAGGUUGUGUGUAGUUAUGUGUAGAAGCACUGAUCGUGGCAAGGUGCUUUCCACUCUGAUCGUAAUUGACUAGUAUUACCAAUUUUUCUUCCAAGUUUGAUGCUUCACUCAACGGAUUCCAGCAACCAACAUCGCUCAAUUUUUUUUCUCAAAAUCUUUUAGUGUGCAAGGCAAUUCCAUAACGUUAUUUGCACUUUCGGGCAGAUAGACAAAAACUAACCAUACUCCUUUAGUAGAUUUGUGUUAGCUACCCACAGAUAAUAAGGCUGUUUAUUGCUAUUAAUUUUACCUUAAAUUCUCAAAUGGCACCUCUAUGACCAUAUAAAAUAAUGCAGCUCUUUUCACAAAAAUUCUUACAAGACAAAAAUGCUUAAUAUUUAUAUUUCAGUUAAAUUACGAUCAAUUUUAAUUGGAAGUUUUUUUUAUAAAAAGGGUUGCUGUUCUCUAUGGUACAUGUUUCUUUUACACUGCAAUAGUUAUUCUGUUGUUUUUCAUUUUUUCUUGUAGCUAGGCCACAGCCAUACAUAUCAAGGCCUCACUGUGACUUCAAUCAGAACAGCACUGUUCCCUUUGCUUUUAGGGUGUGUGGUGUUUUUGUUGCUCAUUAACUGAUUUUUUUUUCAUGGAUGGAUACUGAAAAUCCUUUGUUUUUCUAUUACAUCAAAUUCAUCAAGAUAUUCUAAAGUCAAAAUCCAAGAAAAUAAUUCCUACCUAUUUCAAAAUUCAACAUUUUCUCCUCUCUGUUUCCUACUGGUUCAACAAUUUUCAGAAUAGGUUGAAACAAGCGUAAAUCACAAAAUCGUCUUGUUUCAUCAUAAAACUCCUCUUUCCGCGCAUCUUGGGUAAUGCUCACAAAUAUGUAUGAUGCAGGUUCUAAUAGUCUUUCAUAAAGUGGAUAAAGCUUUGCCUUUACCCAAAGAUCUGCUUUAAUCCGUUCAAGUGUUUCGUCACGACUCACAGCCACCUGAAUAAUGAUCCCCGUGGGUAAUAAACAGUCCACCUGAAUAGUUGAGGGCAUCAAAUGAUGACCCCAUAGUUCUCCUGAACUAGGAGGCAUCUUUAUAUCUUUAUUUCUUUAAAUCUAGUUGUAAAACUGAAAAACAAAACAGUUCAAUAUAACGGUCUUUUAUUACCAUUACAAGUUUUUAAUUGAUGUUUCUAUCUCCUGUUUAAAACAAAAUCUCAAGGUAACGAAUACAAAUUUAUGUUUUUUUCCUCCUCAAGUGAAUUCUUAACAGAACAGUAUUCUGCUUCCUGGAUGAGUUUUAAGAAUCCCCUUCACCUCCUCAAGGGUAAAGCUUGUGUAAAUAGUGAUUCUUAAAAAUUUGAAAACCAAGGACAAUUAUCUAUAAAUAUAUGUGUAAACAACAAAAAUAAAUAAACAUUAAUGAAUGAAGAGAACAUAUCUUGAAGAUUAAAUGAAAAAUUACGUUUCGAUUUAAAUAUGUCAGUCAACAAUGUUGUUGUUAUAUCAUCGUAUCUUUGAAUCAAAAUAUAUAAGAAGUAAAAAUAAUGCUUAUAACAGUCAUGACAGUUUCCAUGACCAGUAUAAUAAUUGUAAAAUAAAAACAUUAAAGUAUUUCAAUGUUUAACUAAUUAACAGUUGCAUUUAAUGCACUUGUGUUAAAAAUAAUACUCACAUAUAUAUAUAUUCAAUAUAAUUAGAUAUUUUAUUAUGAAGUCUUAGCUUUUGAAAAUUGUUAAGUAAUGAAUGAAAAACUUGUAUUGUUUACAUUCAAAAGAACAACAACAGACUGAGUUUAAAUUAUGUGCUACCUGCAUUUAAGAUGGAUAUAGACUAGUCGUACCACAUAAUUUAUGCGAAAACAAUUAUCUAAGUCUGAGAAUUUAAUCACUAAAACAUGCCCAAGGGGCAAGGUAACCUGUGCAGACUUUAAAAAAUAAUCCAAAAACAGUAAAUACAACGCAUAAAAGUACAGAUAUUUGUUUGUCCACAUUUCAAGAAUGACAAACAAUUUAAGUUACACUUCAUUACAUAUUAACCCAGACAGCCUUGUGGUUAAACUAUAAGGCCAUUUGGUACAAUUAGAAUAAAUAAACAACAUGUUUUCAAAUUCACAAAUAAGAAUGUGGUCAAAGAUAAAUUGCAGAUAUGACCGAAAGGUAAACGUCCUAUUGACCUCACAUGAAACUAAAAUUUUUAAGUCAAAUAUUUUUUCCACAUAUGGAUAUUUUCCAAAUCAUGUUUACUGUUUAUAUCAAUCCCUUUUCCUGAAAAUGGGGUAUUCAAAAUUUCAUAAAAUUUCAUGAACUAAAUCACAGCUAUAUAUAUUAUAUAUAUAGAGUUCUUUUAAACAAAUUCAAAAUUCAAAUUUUCAAAAUUUAGGUAAAAAAAUUGUCACUUUCUUACAAAGUAGAAAACACUCUUUGCAUAUUUUUAUCUCAAGUUUUGAUCUGUUCAGCAGCACUAUCCUUGAAAAAAUAUAUAUUUAAGUACACUUAUUGUUUCACAACAAACUUUAAAUUCCCCAAGCUUUUAAUUUAUAAUUAAGGAGCAGCAAUUUGAAAGAAUUCCAACAAUCUUUUAAUCAUUCAUUUUCUGGGAACUAAAACUUGUUUAGGCAACACCAAUUUGAUUAAUAGUUCUUUGGACAAAAGCUCCAAAAAAUAUGGGGCGAGCGAGCGAAAGAAAUUUUUUUGAUUGUAAAAAAUUCUUGAAAAUGAGUUUUGUUGAGGCGGGUGCUCUACAAGUCGAGCGAGCAGUAUAUAUUUUUUUUAAAUUGUGCAAUUUACAAAUUUAUGUACAUGUUAAAACUGGGUAACUUCAAAGAAAAAUGAGGAGAAUCAUGCUCUUAUGCAUAAAAUUUGAUGUAUUUGUGCCUGUAGUAUAGUCUAUACCAUACCCAACUUUCUGGUUCGCUUUUAAAUUUGGUUUAGUAUAAUUUUUCGUCAAAUAAGCUCUAACUGUGUGAAUUUUUAUUUACAUUCACACAUGUAAAAUUGAGAAUGGAAAUGGGGAAUGUGUCAAAGAGACAACAACCCGACCAAAUAAAAAACAACAGCAGAGGGUCACCAACAGGUCUUCAAUGUAGCGAGAAAUUCCCGCACCCGGAGGCGUCCUUCAGCUGGCCCCUAAACAAAUAUAUACUAGUCCAGUGAUAUCUUUGAUACAGUUGUUUUCAUAUAUAGAAGUGAUUGUUUAUUGGCUGCUUGGUAUCUAGUUAUAACUAUUUAUUCUCAAAAGGAUCAACAUAAUGAGUGAGGUGAAUAUUUCAACAAAAUCUAGAGUAAAAUAGUUAUAUUGCUAUGCAUGUUGAUCUCAGUGUAAUGAAACAUUCCCUUAAAACACAUUAUGUCCUUAUUAGGCUUAAACCAAAUUCACAUGCAUUUAAUACUGUACAUUUUAAAACUUAUUGGAAAACAACUUAUUUAUUUCAUCAUUUUUCUAAAUAGGAGUUACAAAAUGGGUAAUACUAUUGUAGCAGGAAGUACUGACCCUUCCAGAAAUCCUUAAUUCAACCCCAGUAAUGUAAUAUAUGCACAGAUAGGCACAUAGUAGCCAUAUUCAAACUAUCUUAGGAAAUGGCCGAUGCAGGGGGGUUUUCUGAGGAUUUCUAACCCUGAGGAAACCCUUUUUUGUUUUGACAACUUAUGGUUUUGUAUGGAGACUUGUGGUUGGAACCCACUUUUUAUAUGACUUGUAUGGGAUGGGCCCCUUUUAAAAAUGGUUGGAUCCCGAUUCUGCACCAGCAAAUUUUAUUUCGUGAUAACUUUAAAUCAAUUUUAUCUCGAGUAGUUAGAUAUGUCAUGAAAAGAGCUGCAGAUUUUUCCACAUGUCAGGAUGAAUGUUCAGCUUUUCUUGAAUAUUUAAUUUUGUGGUUUUGUCAAAGCCUGCAUUCACACCUAAAGAAAAUUUUACUUCAUUCAAUAUUAAAAUUUGUGGUUCACAUUUACCCCUGAAAUCCUUGAAAAUUUGUAUCCUAUGAAUAAUAAUGAAUCCACAAUAUUUUUCUCUUUUGACCCUCAAUAGUACAGUUCAAACCACAACUUUUGUAUCAGCACGAAUCUGACAAUACAGCACUUUUCUAAAGACAUUUUUGUUUGUCUUCAUUAACCAGGUGUGAACUGGUAUGUCCUAGGUACAUAAAAGCCACAUUAUGACAUUAAAAUGACAUAUUGAAACCUACAGCAAUUCUUCAAAUUUAAUUUAUUUGAAUUUUUCUGAUAGAUCACAACAUGUAUACACAUAAAGCAUUUCUAUGAUACGACCUUUCUUGUUUAUUUAACCUUGUAGGCCAUGAGAGGGUUUGAUAUGCAUCUUCAUGAAAUAUGAGAAUGAACGAAAUUAAAUAUCAUUUUUACUCCUUUUAAAUUGUUUUGAACUAAACAAGAUUACUGAUAUCACUUCUGCAUGGUCAUUACUGCAUCAGCAGCAUGUAGAUUCAUCAACUUUAAUAAGAACCUUUUUUUUUGUGAAACACUAGGGGUGGAUUAAGGUUGGGGUGCGGCUGGUGUGACCCCCAAAAUAAAAAUAAAUUUGAAAAGCAUGGGUUUAUCAGCUUAAUAGAGAAUAUUUCGAUAAUUUUACCUCAAAAAAAUAUUUAACUGACUAAGUUAGCUCCGAUUUUUUUUAGAAUGCACCCCCUCCAACCUAAAAUCCUGGACCCAUCCCUGAACACAGUAUUUUAUUGAAUACUAAGCAUGCUAAGCAUAUUGCUUACAAAUUAUGCAUACAAAAGCCUAAAGAAAAUUUGUAUUUUGUUUUUCACUUAAAUUCAAUUGUUAACCUAUACCCACAGAUUUAUUAUUAUGAAGUAAAUACUGAAUCUUAUAUUUUUUUUGUGCAUUUUUGUAUGACUAUUAAGACCAGUAAAACACUUACAAUUUAAUAGCAAAUGGAUUCUUGAGUGGAGUCAUGUCCUAAUAAAUUUUGUAAAUAAAAAAGGAAUGUGAACAAUGAAAACUCUGUUCAAGCUUUGCAAUUGUUUAUAAUAAAGUUAUAAAGGGGAUUAACUUUAGUAACAGUUAUUAACUGACAUCAAAAAUUUCAACUCUGUCUGCAAGUUUUUUUUGUUAGCUUUGUGCAUGAAUUUUAUAUAAAAUUGAAUUGAGGAAACUUAAGCAUGUUAAGUAAAAGUGAACAAUUUAUUUUUUGCAAUUUUACAAGUUAUGUACAAAAGGCUUAUAUAACUUUAGAAUAAUAUGUGACUUAUGCAGUGACAGAUCCAUAACCUUUUAUAAGGGCGGCCCACUGACUGACCUAAGUGGGGGGCCUGCUCCAGUCAUGCUGAUCAAUAAAAUUUUCCCACAAAAAGGGGCACCCCCUGGAUCUGCCUAUGGCUUGAGCUCAUUGCCCAAAUUUAAACUCUGUCUACGAGUCUUGGUUCCAAGCAUUUUGUAUUUGUUUCAUAAAAUUUGCAUGAAGCAGACUUAAUGUGAGAACAAAAAUGGGAUGGACAGAAGGACUGACCUAAGGAUGAAUUGAAGGUCAAGGGUAAACUUUAUUGCCCCUGUUACCUACGACAGGGGGAUAAAAAUACUUACAAAAAAAACAUUUGUCAAUGAGUUUUAUGUUAUUGAGGAAACACUCCUGCCCACUGUACAGCCCCAAAUUAAUAACCGAUAUUUCCUUCAUAAAUCAAGUUAAAAAUGUGUGAUUAUAAAUCUUAUUGAAUAUUUAGUUGAAUUCUACAAUUUAUAACUUUUUUCAAUUUAUGAAUUCUUAAUUCAAAUUAAAUCACUGGUUUUAUAGUGCAAUAGUUCUAUCAACUUGUACUUUUUCGACAGGUUAACAUUUAUAAAACCAUAUGGUUUUCUUUUCCGUCAUAUUGUUUAUAUAAAAUUACAUGUACUUGUAGAUUAACAGUAUACGGAAACAACACAAGUCCAUAUUUAGUAACGAGGAACACUAAACAUAGAUGCUGUGGUUUCACCUUUAUAACUUAAAGUGUAAAUUUGUCAAAAAGACCUUCAUUAUGUAUAAUUCUUAUUCUAUUACCAUAACAUUUUAUUAUUUUAGUAAAUAGCCUCAGGACAAUGUGAAUAAUCUAAUAUUUUAAUCCUAAUUUAUUAAUGUUUGCAUGAUAUAAAGUCAUAUAUUUGACUUUUUCUAAUUAAUGAGUAUAUCUUAAAUAAACUUGGCAUUUCUAUAUUUAGUGACCAGCUGCAGUAUGUUUAAUAUAUUGUUCAUGUGACUGAAAAAUAAACAGAACAACAGUUAAUGAUUGGCCAAACGAAGUACUAACUAUAGACAUUUUGAGGAAGAUUGGCCUAACAAUAGUUAUACUGGCCCAUGCCAUUUGGCUUGUGCUUAAUCACGAAGACUGUAUUCAGGCCUCCACACCUUUGCAAAAGAUCCAACCCCCAACUUCUACUGACAGACAAUACUGCAUGUAGGAAUGUUGGCAUAAGUGGUCUGAAUAAUUUUUUUUUAUCAAUAUCUAUGAUUAUGCAAUAGAAAACCCUAAAAGAAGUUAUAUGAAUUGUAUUGUUUUUUUUUAUCCAUGUUAGUAAAUAAUUCCAUUUUACAUUUAUUCAACUUAAGGGUUACCAUCAUCAGUCCCUAAUAUCCCAAACAUCCCCUACUACUAAAAAAAUAAAUAAUGAAUACAUAUGUGGCGAAAAAAAAUAAUUGGAAAUUGGUGAUUAGAAAAGUCAAUGAUUUUACUAUAUAUUUUGUAAUGUUGUACCCUUUUAGACUUGCUUAUUAUGUACAUGUAUAAGUAUAUAUAUAUCUGAUAAGUUCUGAAGAUUGAUUGAGAAAAAAAUAUACCAUUUGCUAAGAAAUUGGUAAUAACAAAAUUCACUGACAUUGAAGAACUAGGUAAGUAAAUAUAUAGACAUAUAAAAAGAGUGCAGGCAGAUCAAUCAAAGUGCAUUUCAAGGGGAUACAUGUAUCAAGUUCAAAGUUCUUUGGGAAUAGUCAGUUUUAAGUAAACAGCCCCUAGGCCUUGUGUGGUUUCACCCUUAUAGCCAGUGCUGUGGUUAUCUAAAGUGUAUCUACAUGUAUCUAGUAUACUUUUAUGUCUAUGCACCAUAUCAACUAAAGGUUAGAACCAAAUAAAUACAAAACAACCAAACAAUCUUGAGAACUUAUCAGAUAUAUAUAUAAUUUACUUCAUAACUGGAAUAAAAUGACUUUAAAUGACCUUACAAAAAAAUAUUAUUGUAAAACUUCACAUGGGGUACAAUCAUUUUUAUAGUAUUGAUUUUAAAACAAUAAACAUGAAUUUGAAAAACAAUUUUUACCUGAUGAAGGCUGAUCGCUUUAUAAGGAAAUGUAAUAGGUUUUCCUGUACCUUUUAAAUUGAAAUAAUUUCAUUUAAAUCAAAUAUAACAGACAAAAGUCCACCUGAGAAUACCACUAAACUGUCCUUGGGUAAAAUUUCACUUCCUGAAAUACAGUAGCUUAAUACAAUACAAGUAACAAUAACUAAGUGGUGAAAAAGUUAAUUCAUAUUAAAAGAAACUUUUUAAAGACAGUGCUUAAAAUUAGACAUAUAUGGGAAUGAAUAAGCUUCACUAAGCUUCAAUAGUGGAAUUUUUUAAAUUAACAAUAUACACAUAAACAAGAGUGCACACACUGAAAUGUCUCGCCUUCUUUACUAAUCAUUGAUAUUAUGUUGAUACUCCUAAAUAUAAAGCUUUAUUACGACUGUCACAUAAACUUAACAUGAAUCAUGAAAAUGAGGUCAAGGUCAGUUGAACCAUAUGCCAGGCAGACAUGUACAGCUAACAAUGCUUCCAUACAACAAACAUGACAAAUAUAGUUGAGCCUAUUGCUUAUAGUUUAAGAAAAUAGACCAAAACACAAAAACUUAACACUGAGCAAUGAACCGUGAAAACCAGGUCAAGGUCAAAUAAAACCUGCACGACUGACAUAUAGAUCAUAAAAUAUUUCCAUACACCAAAUAUAGUUGACCUAUGACAUAUAGUAUUAGAUAAAAAGACCAAAACUCAAAAACUAAACUUUGACCACUGAACCAUGAAAAUGAGGUCAAGGUCAGAUGACAUCUGCCUGCUAGACAUGUACACCUUACAAUCAUUCCAUACAACAAAUAUAGUAAACCUAUUGCAUAAAGUAUGAGAAAAACAGACCAAAACACAAAACUUAACUAUAACCACUGAACCAUGAAAAUGAGGUCAAGGUCAGAUGACAUCUGCCCGCUAGACAUGUACACCAUUCAAUCAUUCCAUACAACAAAUAUAGUAAACCUAUUGCAUAAAGUAUGAGAAAAACAGACCAAAACACAAAAACUUAACUUUAACCACUGAACCAUGAAAAUGAGGUCAAGGUCAGAUGACACAUGCCAGUUGGACAUGUACACCUUACAGUCCUUCCAUACACCGAAUAUACUAGACCUAUUGCUUAUAGUAUCUGAGAUAUGGACUUGACCACCAAAACUUAACCUUGUUCACUGAUCCAUGAAAUGAGGUCGAGGUCAAGUGAAAACUGUCUGACAGGCAUGAGGACCUUGCAAGGUACGCACAUACGAAAUAUAGUUAUCCUUUUACUUACAGUAAGAGAGAAUUUAACAUUACAAAAAAUCUGAACUUUUUUUUCAAGUGGUCACUGAACCAUGAAAAUGAGGUCAUGGACAAUGGACAUGUGACUGACGGAAACUUCGUAACAUGAGGCAUCUAUAUACAAAAUAUGAAGCAUCCAGGUCUUCACCUUCUAAAAUAUAUAGCUUUUAAAAAGUGAGUUAACACCGCCGCCGCCGGAUCACUAUCCCUAUGUCGAGCUUUCUGCAACAAAAGUUGCAGGUUCGACAAAAAGCAUGUUUGAAUUGUUUCUUUAGAAGUAAGAAAAAACUUUUCCUGAAAAAAACAUCAUUUAUCUCAAAUUUUGGUUGGCAAUGUAAAAAUAGCAAUAACCAAAACUUGCAAUAAUUUCUGAAUUUAAAGUUCUUAAAAACUGGCACUUGCUGCUCUUCCAAUAGUCACAUGACAUUGAGAAGUAAGAACAAAGACUGAUAGACUUAGAUUUUGAAUAAUGUGACCAGGAUCAUGAGGAUUACUGAGGAGAUGAAGUCUUCCUGUUCACUAUUACCUUGUUACGACUAGCAAACUAUAGCUACCAAAUUAAAAAUAAGGUUCCGCAAGUCAAUCUUAUUCUAAGCAGGUAACAUUUAUUUAGUUAAAUUACAUGUUACACGUUCAUGAUGUGAUAUCCAUCUAAUAUUUGCCCCUGGAUUCAAUGUAUCAAUCCAUCUUCAUGCAAGAGAUCUUUUUCAGAAAUGACAGAUGGUGUGGAUUUUAAACCAAACAAACAAAAGGAUCAUCUCUAAGAGACAAUAAUAAGACUCUGAGACUGUACAAUGUAAAAUAUAUAUUUUAUAUACAUUACACAUUGUACUGUUUUAUACAAAUGGGAUUCCUUCUAAACCUCCAGAACCCCCUAAUAGCUAUAGGUAUGGUCAUUGUUAAAUGAUACAUGAUUUAACAAGACCUAAUACCAAAUUGGAAUUUGUUUUUACAAUUGUACUUUCAAUGCUUGUCCUGAAAAUACGACAAAGGUAACAUUAUCACAAGGUUAAAAUUAACUAUUUCAAAGGACAUAAAAUAAAAUUACCUUGUUCCAGUAAAUUAGUUUCCAAACACACACUAUCAAAUUAAAAGUCUGAAAUAACUUCCAUAUUAAGAUUAACCAACCUUAAAAUGACAUUUUAUGGUUAAUAUUUUCUAGACAACAUAUUGCAGAAUGAUACAUAUUGUUAUAUAUAAUAUAAGGAGUGUAAUAACACAUCCUGUGCAUAUAUGUAAAUUUUUGUUCCUAGUUUGUAAACAUGUUUAUUGAGAAUGUGUUUACUGUAACUAUCGGUAUUUCCCGUAUUAAAAGUAAUGUAGCAUCUUUUGAUGACUUUCAUAUUGAUUUCUGCGAUUAUAGUGUUUUUGUUUAUCAUUAAAAUCAGUCAUAGGAGAAAAGCCUACACAAACAAAUCAUUAUUUUAUCGUGUGUCUCAUCCCGCACCCAAUUACACACCAUGAUCAGGUCCAUUUAAUACCCAAAAUAUUUAAAUGAAUUUCUCUUUCAUGUUAUAAAAAGAUUUAAUAUUUCUCAAGAGGUUUCUAACUAAAUUGGUUUUUAAAUGACCUUGAUAGGGACCCUCAAGCUCUGUCAAGGUCAUCACCAGAUGAGAAAAACAUUAUGAAUAUUUGAACAAAACAGUUACAAGUAUAUUCUCGUUAUAUGUGCAACAACAAAGUAACCAUGUUUCUAUUACAUUAAUACUGUUGAUUCAAUAUUAUCUAUAGGAAAUCAAUUUUCUUUACUUUUAAUGGUAUAUUUGUAAACCCCAAAUUUUAAUCUUCAACGAAGCACUCAUCAUAAAUAGGCUUAUAUGCAUUGCAGUCAUACAAUGUACAUGCCAUAUGAAAAACCUAGAUUUAAAUAUUCAAGAAUAUAUAACAUUUUUCUCAAUCCUUGAAAAUUAGUAUCCACAAAAAAUAAAUGAAUGCACAGUUCUUGUUGAUAAACCUGAUGCAUUUGAAAGAUAGCCUCAUUUUAAAGUCUCACUUAGUUCCAAAUCUUGAACCUAAUACUGAUAGAUGUAUCUUAUGGCACAUAAAGAUCUAGGUGACUUAUCUGGUUACCAGUGAGUACUCUCAACCCUGUCCCUCUUUAAUCUUAGUCAGUAGAUUAUCCAAAUGGUCUAAAGGUUUAAGGUCCAAAUCCCAACCCUCAACCCCAACCCCUUAUCGUUGCCUUAUGGGCCUCCCUUAUUGAGCUACAUAUAUAUACAUUUUGUAUGGUGAAUGAAAAGACUUUCCUUUACAUUCCCACUAUUAAUAUUGCCUUGUUGGUGCCCCUCCUUUUCAAACUCCUGAAUCCCUAUUCAUACAGAAUCAGGUUCGUGUAGCACACACUUACACACCACCACUACCAACAUAACGAUAUGGAUCAAGUCAUCAGAACAGAAAUUUAAAACAUACAAUGUAAGCCACUUCAAGCACUAUAUUCCUUUUAAAAGUUUUUAGAAAUUGGAAGACAAACAGAUAUGGUUUGAUGUUGAUUUCUGAUAGAAUUCUUCUCAAAACACCAUAUUGCUAUUUGUCUGCCAUUGCUGGACAUCACAAGCGUUUCCCAAAAAAUUUGACAUCAAAAUUCGAAAUUUCUGAUGUAUUAACUAAAGAAAAGUGAUUAUUAUAUGAAGUCAAUAGUUCAAGUGUUGCAAUUUCUUGCUUCAAAUGUCACAGAUUUCCAAAUAUAUGUGUAUGUAGGUCUAUAUUAAAGUAUAAGUGUUGAGAUCAAGGUGUAAUCUAAACAAAAAACUUAUUGAAAGAAUGUAAAAACAUGACAAAUUAUACAAACUGUACAUAAAUAUAUGGUAAACAUCCAUUGCAAGCACAAAAUAAAAAAACUUUGGUUUGCCCAAAUCCUAUCUAAAGAUAGAGACUGUUGGUAGAUCUAUAGGUAGGCAUUUUUUAAUUUAUUUUUUUUCGGCAAAGAGAAUUUGAAUUGUUAGAUAUUCAUGCCUAUCUGAUUAAAAACAAACUUUAUUACAUCAGGACAAUAAAAGAUUUUGAGUAGACAGCUUUUUUUUGGGUAGGUAGGGUUAGGGCAAACAAACAUAUCCUUUUUUAUGGCCCAAAAGAAUUUACGAAUUACAAGACUGCAAUAUUAUGCCAAAGCAAAAUGAGAAAAUAAAUUAUGUGUCACAAUGUUUCAUUGAGGUACCAAAAUGAAAAUAUGGUAGAAGCUCCAAUUUUAUUUGUGACAACAUAUAUUUUAUAACACUCCUUCAUGUAUUUAAUGUAAAUAUAAGCUUCUAUUGACAGACUGUGGUAGGACAUGUAACAAGAAAAUACAUUCAAAUCAAUUAAAUGUGCAUAAAGAUUUACAUAUGAUUUUAAUAAUUUUUAUGUCUUAACCAGGUGCUCCGCAGGGCGCAGCUUUAUACGACCGCAGAGGUCGAACCCUGAACAGUUGGGGCAAGUAUGGACAAAACAUUCAAGCGUGAUACAGCUCUGAAUUUGGAUUGUGAUCAAAUUUUUGACAUUACAUGGGUUUUUUUUACACAAAACAAAUGUCAAGAUUUUUACAAAUCAAUUAAAGAUUUCUUCUUAUUUAAAUCUAAAAUUAAAUAGUUGACACAGCAUAGGUUUCUGACACAGAAUGAAUGUGGUCUAAUGAACUUAAAAGUUUUUUUUUUGCCUUUGAGCAAUUCACUAUGCUGUUGAAUAUUAAUCCUCUCAAAAAAAUGUUUGAAGAAAUUUUCUUUUUUAUUUAUGAAAUCUGAAAUGAGAAAAAUUUAACCCCCCCCCCCUUUUUUUCACAUCCCCGUUUCCCUUUUUCCAAAACUGAUAUCAAUUCAAAUUUCUAAUGGAGUUUGCAACAAUAACUACUCUUUUAAAUACAUCAUAAAAUAUUAAAAUGUAAAAUAAAGUGCUUGUUAUCACUGAAUGGUAAAGAUUGGUUGGUAGUAAAAGUGAAUAUACAUUGUUUAUUGUAUAAAACAAUAAAAAAAACUUCAUCAGCAACAUUUUAUAUUGGCAAAUUUCCAAUGAAGUUAUUUACAUAAAGUUAUUGGCAAAUAAAAAUAGAAAAUGACAUCAUAGUCAUGUCUGGCAAAUUUCCAACAUACAUUAUCUAAAACAUUUUAGAUAAGAUAAGGAAAAAAGCUUCAUCAGCAACAUUUUAUAUUGGCAAAUUUCCAAUGAAGUUAUUUACAUAAAGUUAUUGGCAAAUAAAAAUAGAAAAUGACAUCAUAGUCAUGUCUGGCAAAUUUCCAACAUAUAUUAUCAACUACUAUUCUAUACAAAGAAAGAUAACUCCAAUUGAAAAUUAAUUGCUAUUGCACAAUAUUGUGCAAUUAGAUAUUUUUUGCUAUUGUGCAAUACUGUGCAAUUGAAAAUUUCUUGCUAUUGCACAAUACUUGAUAUGGAAUCCUGAUUUGGACCAACUUGAAAACUGGGCCCAUAAUCAAAAAUCAAAGUACAUAUUUUAGAUAAAGCAUAUCAAAUAAGCCCAAGAAUUUAAUUUUUGUUAAAAUCAAACUUAGUUUAAUUUUGGACCCUUUGGACCUUAAUGUAGACCAAUUUGAAAAAACUGGACCAAAAAUUAAGAAUCUACAUACACAGUUAGAUUUGGCAUAUCAAAGAACCCAUUUAUUCAAUUUUUGAUGAAAUCAAACAAAGUUUAAUUUUGGACCCCCAUUUGGACCAACUUGAAAACUAGGCCAAUAAUUAAAAAUCUAAGUACAUUUUUAAAUUCAGCAUAUCAAAGAACCCCAAGGAUUCAAUUUUUGUUUCAAAAUCAAACUAAGUUUAAUUUUGGACCCUUUGGACCUUAAUGUAGACCAAUUUGAAAACGGGACCAAAAAAAUUAAGAAUCUACAUACAUGACAGUUAGAUUCGGCAUAUCAAAGAACCCCAAUUAUUCAAUUUUUGAUGAAAUCACACAAAGUUUCAAUUUUGGACCCUUUGGGCCCCUUAUUCCUAAACUGUUAGGACCAAAACUCCCAAAAUCAAACCCAACCUUCCUUUUAUGGUCAUAAACCUUGUGUUUAAAUUUCAUAGAUUUCUAUUUACUUAUACUAAAGUUAUGGUGAAAAAACCAAAAAUAAUGCUUAUUUGGGUCCCUUUUUGGCCCCUAAUUCAUAAACUGUUGUGACCUCAACUCCAAAAAUCAAUCCCAACCUUCCUUUUGUGGUCAUAAACCUUGUGUUAAAAUUUCAUUGAUUUCUAUUUACUUAUACUAAAGUUAUUGUGCGAAAACCAAGAAUAAUGCUUAUUUGGGCCCUUUUUUGGCCCUUAAUUCCUAAACUGUUGGAACCAAAACUCCCAAAAUCAAUCCCAACCUUCCUUUUGUGGUCAUAAACCUUGUGUCAAAAUUUCAUAGAUUUCUAUUCACUUAAACUAAAGUUAUAGUGCGAAAACCAAGAAAAUGCUUAUUUGGGCCCUUUUUGGCCCCUAAUUCCUAAAAUGUUGGGACCAAAACUCCCAAAAUCAAUACCAACCUUCCUUUUGUGGUCAUAAACCUUGUGUUAAAAUUUCAUAGAUUUCCAUUCACUUUUACUAAAGUUAGAGUGCGAAAACUAAAAGUAUUCGGACGCCGGACGACGACGACGACGACGACGCCGACGCCAACGUGAUAGCAAUAUACGACGAAAAAUUUUUCAAAUUUUGCGGUCGUAUAAAAACUAUAAUUUUCAUCGAUAUAUUGUGUUUGGAACUUCUAUGAAUAUGACUCCGAUUUACAAGAAUAAAGUUUAAAACUGUUAUUCCCGAGGUCUAAGAUCAUGAUGAUGUCAACUUUGCCUCGGUCAGUUUCUAUUAAUCUAAUUACAUAUUUACAAAUUGUUUCCUGAUUUGAUGACACGGAAAUUGGACAUAGGUAAAUUUCUUAUCCAACCUAAUUUAUAGAUUGGAAUUAUUUAUUGGAACAAAGAAUCUGACAUGAUGAAACUUCAAGAUGACCCAGAGAUUUAGUGAAGUAAUGGUUUGAGAUGACCCAGAGAUUUAGUGAAGUAAUGGUUUGAGAUGACCCAGACAUUUAGUGAAGUAAUGGUUUGAGAUGACCCAGAGAUUUAGUGAAGUAAUGGUUUGAUAAGUCUGACAAUUUUAAACAGCUCUGAAACUGCUGAUAAUAGAACAGGAGAAGAUAUCCAAAUGUUUGAAUUACUCAUUAGAUGUCAGUACACCUCUUUCACUGUUUUGUCAUAUAUAUAUAAUGAAUGUUUAAACUUUAAAGAAUAAUUCCUAACAAUAAUGUUUGAUUUAAUGGGAGGUAACUCUACCAUACUUAUCAGAUUUUUUUUCGAGUAAAGGAUUUUCAAAAAAGAAUUAAUUCAAGUCAUCAACUCUGAAGAUUUCCCCCUCCCUUAAGCUUCCACCCCCUUAAAAAAUGAAGGUGUCCAAACUCUCUUUAAGUCUUUAGCUGAUAUAUAGUCUUAAUUUUACAUCAGAAACUAAUGAAUGAUUUUUUUUUAGCCUACUGUGUCCUAGGCUUCCUAUAAAGCUUUUUUUAAUUAUCAGGGUUAAGUUCAACAUCAUAGCAGCUACGUACAUGUAGCGGCUAUCAAUAUCUAUGUAGCAGCUAGUCUAUAGCUACACGUUCAAUAGUAAAAUUCUACGUAGCAGCUACGAUAUUGAAAGCAGGCCUGAUAAUGCAAUUUGUUUACUAGUACAUGGUCAGAAAUCAAAAUUGUCCCAAGCCCUUAGUACAUUUCGAACCUUUCUAAGAAAGUCAACAUGACAUGGGAGAUAACUCUAAUUGCACAAAUAUCUGUAUAAUUAUUUGUUAUAAAAUAUUAACACUAUAUUACAAUCAAUUUCAUUAAUGUGACAUCUGCAAAUGUCUCAAGGCAGUUUUAUUUGAACAAAAUCAAAAAUCUUAUUCUGUGAAAGUGAGAUAAGUACCAACUGUCUGUGCUGUUUCCAAUGUAAAAUAUGCAUUUUUCUCAAUGCCUGGUCUUCAAGCUAGAAGUUUCAUUUUAGGCUACAUGUAAUAAAGAUGGAACUUUCCAACAGUAAAAAUUAAGUUUCAAUUAUAAGAGUUUGAAACUUCAAAAAACAAAGUCAGUAUAUACUUGUACAGGGUUUCCGCUGGCGGUUGCCACAUUUUGCUAUUUGCGAAAAAAUAAUAAUUGUGGCGAUUAAAAUUCGUCAUCUUCUUCUUCCAAUUGAGCGGCUGCAAUCAACUGUCUGAUUAUUCUGCCCUGUGUGUUGCACAUGAAGUCCAAAGAAAAUUCAAUUAUAUUUACAUUUUGUGAAGGUUAAGAUCCUAUAUACAGGUGCUCUUUAAAUACAGGCAUUCCAUUCCCAUAUAUGGAUUUUGGAUAGAAUGACAUUUUUCUUAUAUCAGUUCAACAAGGGGAACCUGGUAACAUCCAGUACCAGUUGUUCUUGAUGCUUGGCUUAUUGGAAUAAGCCUAGAAGUUGAAUCUAUAUUAACUAGGCAAUUAGUAAUUUUGUACAUCAUACACAUCUUUGUUGUUUAUCAGAUCUCCCCUUCUUAUUGUUGCCACUCCAGUUGUUUUAUCAUGGUGUCUACUGAUGAUGUAUAACAGUACCAUUGUACCAUCUCAAUUUUUUUUGUUUUUAGUCUUUAGCUGAUUCAUAGUCUUAUUUCUAUAUCAGAAACUAAUAAAUGAUUCUUUUUUAGCCUACUGUGUCCUAGGCUUCAUAUAAAGCUUUUUUUUUUCAUCAAAUAAUGCAAUUUGUUUACUAGUACAUUGAAAAUGGUCAGAAAUCAAAAUCGUCCCAGGUCCUUCAUAAAUUUUAUACCUUCUUUCAAAGAAAAUUAUCAGGACAUGGGAGAUAACUCAAAUUGCACAAAUAUCUGUUUUGUUUGUAAAACAUUUACACUAUAUUUCAAUCACUUUUAUUAAUGCGACUCAUCUGCAAAUGUCUCAAGGUGGUUUUAUUUGAACAAAAUCAAAUAUCUUACUGUGAAAGUUAGACAAAUACUGACUGUAUGCUGUUUCCACUAUAAAAUAUUUGUUUGUCUCAAUGCUUGGUCUUCAAGCUUGAAGUUUUAUUUUAGGCUUAUAAAGAUGGAACUUUCCAACAUUAAAAAUUAACUUUCAAUUAUAAGAGUUUGAAACUUCAAAAAUCAAAGUCAGUAUAUACUUGUACAUUUGUUUAAAGGUUUAUCACAUAUCGAUCAAUCCAUGUAUUUAAUAGUUUUUGUAGCUUCUCCACAACUUUGAUAAAUGCAGCUUUACAUUGUGUUAUACAUGUAUUACAAUACUAUACUUAUACAACUUUUCAGAAAAAAGGUUACCUUCUAGUUCACUUUUUUUAAAUUUUGGGAUAAUUAUUUGUGAAAAUGUAUUUAUCUAGUAACAUUCACUAUUACAUGCUAUUAUUUAUCCUGAUUUAAUCCUGAGAAUAGUUAUUAUCAUGCACGUUUUCUGUGUAUUCAACUGUUAUAAGUUUGCCACAUGUACAUAUUAAGGCCUGAUACAUGUACAAAAUGUAGAUAAAAACAUGAACAAUUAGAACAGUUUUUUUAAAGUCAUAUUAAGUGGCAUAUUUUUGAAUUAUGAAAGGUCACCAUGAUGAUUUCAUUGAAAUAAAGAAAAUUUGAAAGUUUUCAGCAGGGUGAACAGAAUAAAAUGGCAAAAAAUAACAUAUUUCAUUAUUUUUGUAAAGGAAUAUUUAUGUCAUCUCAAAUUACCUUCAGGAAUCGAUAGAAUCUUCUCAAAUUAAUAUUUGGUUAUUAUCAAAUUACAAACAACAAAAUGUAUUUCAGAAAAUUACCCAAACGUACAUGUAUGCAAGUCUUGAUCAAUGCUUGAUUAUACAAUAGUUAUAGAUCUUUCAGAGUGCCACCAACAUGACCAACCAGUUACUAGCGAUGCCUUUGAUAUUCAUUAGGCCAAAUAAAAAUAUGUGUGUGGUUCCAGUAACCCUACCGUCCCUACUUUUUCGGCUUAAAAAUAGCCUACCCUAAAGAUUUUAUUGUCAUUUUUCAUUAAGCACUGUUAAAGUCAGAAUGUUGCUCCCAUAGACUCAAUGUAAAAAAAAAACCAUAAAAUAAAAAAAAAACCCUACCUACCUACCCUAACUUUUUUUCAGAUGUAACUGGAACCACAUACACUUUUUUAUUUGGCCUUAGAAAAACAAAUUGAAGUGUGGCAUUUUUUUUUUUUUUAUAUAUAUAUAUAUAUAUAUAUAUAUAUAUACAAAAGUGAUGGUAAAUAACUGUUGACUUUUUUACUUUAUUCUAUCAUCAAACAAAAGUCACCUAAUAUUUUUGUUGACAAAUAAACUCAUCAUAGAAACCAGGAUUAAAAUUUUAUAUUUACGCCAGACAUGCAUUUCGUCUUCAAAAGACUCAUCAGUGACGCUUGAAUUGAUGCAUGAAAUAAUGCAGCAAUAAAAAUUGACUAUAAAGGGCAAUAACUCCUUAAAAGGGUCACUUUUUGUAGAUCUUACUUUGAUGUACAUUAUUCAUGGUAUUGCCUAAUAUUGAUUGUGGCCAGGCACAUGUAUGGUUAAAUUUGGCCCAGUAGUUUCAGAGAAGAUUUUUGCAAAAGUAAAUGGACUAAGACGGACGACAAAUGCCAAAAAAAGUUCACUUGGCCCUGUUUUUUUUACAAAUGUAUAUGUAUUCAAAUAAGAGUACAGAAAACAGAAGUGGAGUGCUGUUCCCAAUUAUAGAUAUGGACAGACUGUAACCAAAUUAUUGCAGUGGGUUAAUUGUCCCAGUACAUGUAAUAAUUAUAUGAAUAGAAAAGAUAAAUGUUGUAUGAGUCAUUUGAUGUUAUAAGUGCUUGAAAGUGACAGGGCUUAUGGUAGUUUCCUAGUUAUUUUGAUCUAGUUAUUAUAAUGACAUCUGAUAGAAUUAGGACUACAUGUAGAUGCUAUAUAAUCUUGUACAUCAGCCCAAGUACAGUGCUCAGUCUACAUCUACAGUCUGAUAGUGCUGGUCAAUUUUGCGUGGGACUUUGAGUCUUGUUAGGGCCAUCUACAAGGUAUAGGCAAAGAAAAGGUCUUGGUGACGGUCUGAUGACUAUAUAUUUUAAAAUCAGUACAAUACUGUUUAUGUGUGGUAACUUGUUAGUUGUAUUGGAAGUUAAAAGAGCUUACGUUGAAGAACCAUCUGUUCGGAAACUUCAUCUGUGACAACAACUUAGUAGCCCUUAAGAAUUAUUUAUGGUAAGUCUCGCACCUUCUCCUUGUUGUUGUUUUACUGCAUUUGUGGGUCAUAAUUCAGCAGUAAAUAUUUGUCUACAAAUAAUAUGAAAUUUAUUUCUAAAUAUUAAAUUAGGGAUAUGAAUUUCACUAAACAUAUUUUUGUGGUUUGAAUAUAUGCACCUUUUUCAUUUUUAUUAAUUACUUUGAUAAUUGAUAUUUUUAGACAAAUACAACUAAAUACCAAAUUGAUAAUUCAAAUAGUAUAGUACACCCUUAAAGUAUCUUCGAGGGGAAAUAAAUACGUUUAAAAUACAUAAAUACGUAUAUAUGUAUUAUGAAAAGUAUUAUGGACAUACAAAAAGCUGAAAAAAAAUAUAGUAUGAGUUUUCUUCCAUGAUUUUUUAAAAAUUCAAAAUAACACUUUUUAAAAAUUUGGACAUUACAAAAAUUCAAAAGAUAUACAGUCACAUCCGACCUGAUGUCUCAAAUAUAAUUCCUAUCAAGGACAUCAAGAAGGCUAGUGUUUCUCAGACACAAUGCACGAUAUCAACUGGUGACGAAAGUCCAAGCAAAUAAAAAGGAUGCUUGAGACUGAGUGGGUGCAAUAGGAUGGGAGGGGCAGCAAUAAUUAAAUGAAUAUUCGAAAAUCUAGUCUACUUAUAAUCAGAGACAUAUAUACACGUGUAUAUAUGUCUCUGUUAACCCUUUUUGGGAAAAAAAUUGGUUGCUUAUAUAGGGAAUCACUGAAGCGUGACUCCAGCGGCCCCCCUAAGGUCAGUCAGUUGGCCCCCACUUAUGAAAAUUUCUGGAUCCGCCACUGGAGUUGUAAAAAAAUAUUUAAAAGCAAUUUAUGUACCCAGACUAAUAUACCUAUAUAGGAAAUCAUGUCCAUGCCAUUAAUAUUCCUAGGUAAAAUUGUCCAUGCUGCCUAUUUUUUUCAAAUUUCAUCCUAGCACCCCCAUAAAAAUCAAACGGUAGCUCCCUUAUUUCCUAUAACUUUUUUUUAAUAUAAUCAAAAUUACUAGAAAACAAGUUUUAGGACAAAUUUUCCUAGGGAAAUAAGUGCCAGACAUAUUUUACCAGCUAUGGACUUAUUUUUGAAGGAACAUAUACCCUGGGACUUACAUUUCUAGUAAAAUAAUGGUCAUGUACUUGAUUUACUAGGGAAAACAUAGGCGGAUCCAGGGGGGCCUGGGGCCCCGGGCCCCCUUUCGUGGGAAAAAUUUGGUUGAUUAUAUAGGGAAUCAUUGAAGCAUGACUGGAGCGGGCCCCCUUAGGAAAUGUUCUGGAUCCGCCACUGAGUUUAACAGUUCACUGCAGAAUUUAGUAAAUAGUUCUAUCAAGGAUUGUAUUGUACUAUACAAAUCCUUGCUUCUAUUCAACAACAGUUUUUUUUUUGUUUUUUUUUUGUUGGAGAAAAAAAAGUUUUAUGUUCAUAAAUUGCCGUAUUUGCUGAUAAAAGUUUAAGUUUUACAAUCAGUAUGAUCAAUUAUAUGAGCUACCGAAAACAUAGUCCCAAAGAAUAACUGGACUAAAAGUAAGCUCAUUAGUGAAAUUUUGUACGUCGUGUCACAUGCUUUUUAAGCUUAUAGUUUUGGGUCUACGACUAAAUUAUUUACUGCGAAGUUAAAAUUAAUGGGGAAUUCGACGGCAGCGUUUAUUGCCGAAAUUUGUACCAUUAAACCAAGGCAUUCUUGUUAAAGCAUAAUGUCUUCUGGUGCAUCAGGUAAUAAUCCAUUGAAAAAUCAACAGGAAUAUGUGUCUCAUCUGUCUAAAAACUUUUUAAUGCACGCACAACAUCAGCCCGAUAAAAUUACCAUGUGGUAUCUCAACUUUCUGUUUGCAUUGCAUUGCCACUGGUGUAACGCGUUCUUGUUAACUUUUGUUUUUGUUAAUCUUCAGAAUAAAAGUUUUUUACAUCGAGUUGUGGUAGCUUGUUAAAAUUGAUAUGCUUUUGUAUUUCCUAUUUGCUCUCUCUCUAUAUCUUCUCAUCAAGGAGUGGACUUAAUUUUUAAGUGUAUACACUCCAGGCUCUAGCAUAUAUAAUUUCCAGCAAGGCAGCAUAGAACAUGUCAAGAGUAUCAAAGAUUUUAAUUGCAAUAUUGGCAUACAUAAUGAUGUGUGUUUCUCAUUGAAUUACAAAUCAAUAUAUGUUAAAGGGGCACUAGCUGUCAAGUUCAUGUUCACUGAUUCUAAUCAAAUUCUCAUUUGAUUUGUAACAAUGUAAAUCAUUUAUCCAAACUAUUUAAAGUCUAAAUAAAACAAUAAACAAAGCACAUGCAUGAAAAUACGCUUCGUUUCGUGUGUAUUUGAGUCUACAUGCCAUCUAAUUUUAUAUCGAGUUGACCUCUAUAGUCAUCCGAUGACCAUAUGCGCGAUGUACAGUAGCAUUCAAACGGAUCAAUUCGAUAUCAUUUUUUUCCGAUUUCCGUGUUUCUCUGAAUCACACCGAGUACCGCGGAUUUCACUCCCAAAGUCCUCCAAAGAUUCUCUCCCAACACCGCGUGGCUGUUAAUUGGUUUAUUGCCCAUCGGAUGUACUAAAAAUUAACGACGCGUGACAACAUAAUCGGAUUACCCAGAUAAAUUACCUAUGCACAUUUAAUCGAUCUUGAUUGCACAGGUGUGCUUUAAAAUCACGGUAUUAAAAAUUGAACAAAUGUUUUCCUUUCUUUGACAGAUAAAGAUGUGACAUUAUCAUUUAGAAGAAGAUAAUUAUUAUCUUAUAUGUUUUUGUCCUAUGCCAUUAUCUUUGAAAUAAAACGUACAUACGAAAAAGUGUAAAGAAAAAACUUGUUAUUUUGUGUUUCUAUUACAGUCCGGUAAGGUCAUACAUUGUGUUCUUUCAACAAAGACGAUUCUGACACAAUUAGAAUCUUUUAUGACUUACUCAAUCAGCAAUAUCGGUGCAUUAAUUGUUCAUUAUUUAAAAAUCAACUGGCUAAUAAAAUCAUGUUGUUUUUACGGUAACACGAUUCAUUCAACAAGUAAUUAAACUUAUGAGCAAUGUAAAAUAUUAUGUUUCACCACCUCGGUACUUGAUUUAAAUUACGAAAAGAAACUGUAAAGUGACAACUCUGUUGGACAAAGGAAAUAACUUAAAGUGAUAUUGUUAGCGCUCGUCAUUUUGCUAUUUUACGAAACGGUUUUCAAAUUGACGAAAGUAUUUGUAUCAAUUUCGUCAUUUAAAUUUGGAAAGUGUAAAAAUUUAAAUUACUAUAAUUCUACCUGUCUUCAUGUUUUUGACAAGUUUAUGACGCUCAAUCAUUUUACGUUUACAAAAGAUGUUAAAAGUUGUGAUGAUAAGUAAUCCGCUUAUCGCUAUCCGAUAGGUCACUAAUCCUUUAAUUAUUAUCAAACCUCACUAUUGCCCAUCAUAAUAUUCUAUUCCAGUUAAAUCAGUCAUCAUUUUAUUUUCAAAAUUUCCCAACCGCCUACAAUUGGCAGUUCUUUAUCGUAUUGUUGUCAUUUGAACACAAUUGAUCACCCGGGACAAUUUCCAUCAUAACUUCAAUAUUUCAUCAACCAUAAAUUUAUAUUAUUGACCAUGGACGUAUAACUAAUGUUCAGGUCUACGUCCUUUUUUGAAAGAUAAAAACAUUAAAAUUCAAAUAGUCAAAGAUGUGUUCUCGUUUAUUCGGAAAAGAAUUAUAUUUUAGAUUCAGAUUAAUCAAUUGUAAAAGGAUCUUCGGGAGCCUCAAUACGAUCGCACAAAAAUGUCUUUCACCUUGAGUGAAUUUUUCCCACGGUCGUCUAGAAAGGUCACCUGAGUUUACUGGUACGCGAUAUUACCAGCAUUUUGGGAGGAAUAUCGGAGUUUUUCGGAGUGACUCCGACAUUUUCCUUGGUGUAGGGUGUGGGAGAGUUGGUACUUUUGAACGGUACUGUAUGAAUUAAAUUACCUGAUGCAUUGUGUUUCUUUGUUUACAUUGAACAUGACAUCAUAACUUAAAUAACGUCACAAGUAAAAUCCCUAACAACAAUACCAAAAUUGGAACCAUUACGGUAUUUACGUUUCUUUUUUUAAGGUUCAUCAUAACAAAUGGACAAAUAUGGCCGUAUUUUCACCUCAAAAACUACUCUGUUUACAGACUUACCUGUGCUGUUUGGAAAGUUUUAAUGCCUAGCAUCCACUAGAUAUAUAAAAGCUAAAUGCAUUUUGUGAUUAAGAAAGAUAAAAUGGUUUUUGAUGGGCAUUUUUUUCCGUUUCUGCAGAAGCUGUAAAAAUAAACAAACACCUGAAUUACUUUGAUACAGUCCACUCACCGACUUAGAUAAACUCAUAGCAUCUCAUAGUUGUACCACAACUUAGUUAAUUUUCACACCUUUUGCAUGAAGGAAAAAAAUGCCCAUCAAAAUCCAAAAGAGAUUUUAUCUAUCUGAAACACAAAAUGCAUUUAACUUUAUUAUAUCUAGUGGAUGCCAGGCAUUAAAACUUGUCCAACUUCACUGGUAAGUCUGUACUCAGAGUAAUUUUUGGCAUGAAAAUAUGUGGAAAAUACAGCCAUAUUUGUCCGUUUGUUAUGAUGAACCUUAACCAUGUUAACAAAUAUUUAAGUUACAAAAAAAAUAAUUCAUAGUCUUCAUCCCCAUUCACAGGUAAUGCCUGCCUCAUAUUAUUUUUAUUAUUCUUACAUUUCCAUAUAAGGGAGCUACCAUUUGAUUUUUAUGGGGGGGCUAGGAUGAAAUUUGAAAAAAAUAGGCAGGACAGGAAUUUUGAGUAAAAAAAAAGGCAGGAUGAGACACUUGCAAAAAAAAAAGUCAGGAUGACAAUUUAGGUACAAAAAAAUUGGGAUAAAUUUAAAAAAAAAAGACAGGACCGAAUAGUGAAAAAUAAAAAGGCAGGACAGAGAUUACAACUAAAAAAAAAUGCAGGACAAAAUUUUUCAUCCUAGCCCCCCCCAUAAAAAUCAAAUGGUAUCUCCCUAACCAUAGCCAGUACCUAAAAAGAUUUGUCAAUUCCAAAAAAAACUCUUUGGUCAAUCUUUUCUGUUUUCACCACCAAACUCUUGUGUUCGGCAGUGUGCAGUAAUGAAAAGACCGACCCAAAGAUCUUCUCGAGCUACUCUUAAUAUAGCGACAUAAUAAGUUACAUGGUAAUAACAGUGCAACUUUGACAAAACGAUAGUGUACCCCCCUUUUUCAAUCGUUGAGUCUUUAAAAUUGCAUUAAUUUUUUUUAUUCCUGUCAGGUAAAUGUUUUGCAAUAUAUAUAGAAAAAAUAAUGGUAGGUUAUAUAUUUGUUAUGGUCAGUAAUCUAAUAUCAAUAUUUUUGAAUAUUUUGUACCAUUUUGCUGAGAAGUUAUCAAAAUCCGGACUUCAACGGAGCUUCCAUAUUGUUUUGGCGCCACCAAGUGCAUUCGACCGUGAAACAAGGGAGAAAUUAUUGUUUGUUUACGUUUUUCUUGAAUUACACCCUCUCGGACCAAGUACAACUCGGACCAAUAUAAUUUUUACAGACCGGUCUCGCUGAUUAACAACAAGAAGAAAUAUUUGCGACAAGAAAAAAAAAAUAGCGAAGUUUAUUUAUUAUAUCGUACUCAGUGCAUUUGUUUUCAUGUUCCCUUCCCUUUGCUAUUUUAUAUCGAUAUCAAUAAUUUUAUUUAUAUUGUACCAAGCCAUAUUGCAUUUUUGUGUUUUGUGUAAUUUGUGCUUGUAUUGGUAUUUAUACUUUUGCUCCUUUAGAGCGCUUAUUUAAGAAUUGAAACUUUCUUUUAGUAACUUCAUCGCGGAAGCUAAUAUAUAACCAUAUAUAUAUAUAUAUAUAAAAAAAGAAAAAAGAAAACCCAACAACGCACAAGACUAAAAAGGGCUAGAGGUUCCGCCUGGCUUGCUGCAGGCGCAAAAAAUCACGCGUGGUUAAUUUUAUAUGAUGAGAUAUCAAUACUCUCUAAUUACCUCUCGCCACUGUGGAAUAACUUGACCGUCAACACACAGCAAACCCCAUAGUUAAAAUCGUAGAAGUUGAUGUUGAAUAGGUAACUGAAUAAACUAAACAAGUUGGUGAAAUACCAAGACUCCAAUGAUACUGAUUAAAAGAUAAUAUCUUCGCGUUGUAUGAAAAUAACCCCAAUGUAGGGAGUUGGAUCAAGGCAUCAUAAAGUGUACUAGAAGAACAUGAAGAACACAUAACCCGUAUCAUGCCAACAAUUGGUUUUAGAAUAAUUGCGAUUACUCCAUUUAUCUAGAAAUAUUAUUUCAUGCAGUGUGGGUGCAUUACAAGCUAGCAUAAUAUUGAACUAUGCAAUAUUUAUUAUAUGGAGAAUCCCUUUUCUACCUUUUAUGAUGUUCGUGACCCUCAUAUGAACUUACAUAUUCUAGUGUGUACACUUUUCAAGAAAAUUAAUUAGUUUUUAAACAAAAACAUAAGUCGGGCAAAACAUAAAAAAGUAUGCCCGCGCAUGUAUCGAAUUUUGCUGUUGUUUAGAAAUUUUUAUCAUGUUUACAUGUCUGUUUUUAUUUAAAUGAAAAAUCCAAAGGUUUAUCACCAUGAAAUCUGCACACCGCGACUGCAUCAAAAUGGGAUACAGUGAUGCGUGUAACAAAAAAAGAUACUUUAUUUGGUAUGCAUGUUUACGAAAUGAGAGCUUUGAAAAGAUGACAGCCCGCGAUGUCCAUAGAUAUUUUUCCAAAUACACUACUUUUGUCCAAGCUCAAAACAAUUCAUGUAAUUGGUUUAUAAAAAAAACCCGACGCAUUUUUGUGCCUGUCCCAAGUAAAAAACAUCUAGCAUUUGUUCGUCUUGUAUGUUUUUGUUUUUAAUUAUGGUUAAACUUAUAUGUUUCGGAGUUAACAUGGUUAAGUGUGAUUUCCAUUUUCGCUGUGCUAGUACACAUUUUUAUUUUAUUUUUAUUGAGAGGCCAGCUGAAGCUCGCCUCCGAUGUGGUAUUUUCUAGCUGUGUUGGUGGCUGUAGGCUGUUUUCUGCUAAUUUGUCGAGUUGUUGUCUCUUUGAGCAUGUUGAGAUUGAAAUAAACAAUUAUUUUCCCCGGCAUAGACGACAAUGGUAGCCUUUCUCGAGAUACAGACUUUAGAAAGUUGAUUUUUUUUAUAACGAAACCUUAGUUUAUUAGUUAUUAGGACAGUAUUUUUUGGUCCAAAAAAUAUAGGUUCGGGUAGUCCAAAUAAUUAUGACAUCUUGAAGGCUAUUAUAUUUUUUACAUCGACAGGAAGGUGUCAAAGCAAAAACUUAAAAUAUCCUUCCAAAACGUCAUAAUUAUUUGGACUAAGGUUCGCGUUGCUUUUCAAAGCGUAAUUUGUACUUUGGCCGGGUAAUUGUACAUCCCUACACCAAAAAGACACUAGGUACAGAUCUGAGAGUACUCGCAGUUAACUGACAGCUAGUGCAAAGCCACUAACCACUAAAUUAGUAUAUUUUAAUUCUUUAAUUUUAUGGCAUUCCGAUCCUUUCCAUAAAGAGUUAUAGUUCUUUAAACGUUGUUGCUAGAUAUGAAUAUAUUUACAUGUGAGAGAGUAAAUAGGUGAAAAGUAAGAUAACAAAAAUAUUGAACUCCGAGGAAAAAUUCAAAACGGGAAGUCCCUAAUCAAAUGGCAAAAUCAAAUGAUAAAACUCAUCAAACAGUCAAACAAAUGGACAAAAACUUUCAUAUUCCUGACUUGGUACAGGCAUUUUAAAUUAUAGAAAAUGAUGGAUUGAACCUGGUUUUAAAGCGCUAAACCUCUCACUUGUAUGACAGUCGCAUCAAAUUCCAUUAUAUUUACAACGAUGCUUGAACAAAACGGACAUGAUAGGUUAAUUAGUCAAAACAUGGGUACAGCAGUCAUCACUGAAAUAAGUGACUUUGCUACGGCCAUGUAAUAAAAUAUGCAUACGAGUACAAUCGUCAAUUGAAAAAUAUAAUCGUAUAUAAAAUAGCUGCACAUAUAAUAUCGACAGCUCGCAAAAUAAACUAUUUUCAUUUCUUAGAUGGGAGGGGCUAGUUUCUUUCACAUAAGUUGAAAACAUGACAUAAUGAAUUGAACACUGUAAAUAUGGAAUUUAAUUGUUGUUCAACAUUGCGUUUCAUUACACAAGACUAGUUUAUUCUAUUGACAUAACCAUAUUUAUUGACUUCGUUACAGAUUUAGUCCGAAUCUUUGUUUCUGUUUAAAUUUGUCAUACCCCUAGUUACAUAAAAAAAGAAGCUGAACCUAUGUGGUAAAGUAAGAUGAUUUUAGAUCUAUAUUUUAGGACAUAAGCCUAAAUAUAAAUAGAGAUUUUGAAAUAAGUAACAGAAAAAAAAAUCCGAAGCUAGAUGUCUACAAACUAUAUAUUUUAUAAAAAUAAACUUACCACGAAUAAAUUCAUCAUAGCUACCAGAUUUCGAUUUGAAUGAGCAAAGCCCAUACCGCAUGGUCAGCUAUAAAAGACCCCCGUCUCCCCCCCCCCUCAAUGACAACGUAAAACAAUUCAAACGAGAAAAGCUAACAGCCUUAUUUAUGCACAAAAAAAUUAACGAAAAGCAAAUAUGUAACUCAUAAACAAACGACAACCACGGAAUCAUAGGCUCCUGACUUGGGACAGGCACAUACAUACAUAAUGUGGCGGGUUUAAACAUGUUAGCGGAAUCCCAACCCUCCCCUAACCAUGCUCAGUGGUAUAUGUAUAACAGUACAACAUAAGAACGAACUAUAAAAAUCAGUUGAAAAGAGGCUUAACUCAUCAGAUGGACAAACAUACAAUUGAGCGUCGCCGGGUAAUUGUACAUCCGAACACCAAAAAGACACUAGGUACAGACGAGAGUACUCGCAGUUAACUGACAGCUAGUGCAAAUCUAGCCACUAACCACUAAUUUGGUAUAUUUUAAUUCUUUAAUUUUAUGGCAUUCCGAUCCUUUCCAUAUAGAGUUAUAGUUCUUUAAACGUUGUUGCUAGAUAUGAAUAUAUUUAUACGUAAGACAUGUGAGAGUAAAUAGGUGAAAAGUAAAAUCACAAAAAUAUUGAAAUCCGAGGAUAAAUUCAAAACGGAAGGUCCCUAAUCAAAUGGCAAAAUCAAAUGAUAAAACACAUCAAACAGUCAAACGAAUGGACACAAAUUUUCAUAUUCCUGACUUGGUACAGACAUUUUCAAUUGUAGAAAAUGGUGGAUUGAACCUGGGGUUAUAGCUCUAAACCUUUCACUUGUAUGACAGUCGCAUCAAAUUUCAUUUUAUUUACAACGAUGCUUGAACAAAACGGACAUGAUAGGUAAAAUAGUCAAAACAUGGGUACAGCAGUCAUCACUGAAAUAAGUGACUUUGCUACGGCCAUGUAAUAAAAUAUGCAUACGAGUACAAUCGUCAAUUGAAAAAUAUAAUCGUAUAUAACAUAGCUGCACAUAUAAUAUCGACAGCUCGCAAAAUAAACUAUUUUCAUUUCUUAGAUGCGCGAGGUUAGUUUCUUUCACAUCAGUUGAAAAAUGACAUAAUGAAUUGAACACUGUAAAUAUGGAAUUAAAUUGUUAUUCAACAUUCUGUUUCAUUACACAAGACUAGUUUAUUCUAUUGACAUAACCAUAUUUAUUGACUUCGUUACAGAUUUAGUCCGAAUCUUUGUUUCUGUUUAAAUUUGUCAUACCCCUAGUUACAUAAAAAAGGAACUGAACCUAUGUGGUAAAGUAAGUUGAUUUUAGAUCUAUAUUUUAGGACAUAAGCUUAAAUAUAAAUAGAGAUUUUGAAAUAAGUAACAGAAAAAAAAUCAGAAUCAAGAUGUAUACAUCGAGUUAGCUAUAUAUUUUAUGAAAUAAACUUAACACGAAUAAGUCCAUCAUAGAUGCCAGAUGUAAAUUUGAAUACGCCAGCCGUGUGUCUCCUCUACAAAAGACUCAAUAGUGACGUUAAAACAACAAAGUUUAAAAGACCAAUUAAAGUAUUUAGUUGAUGUGAUCAAAGGAGAUCUCAAUAUCAGUUACAGAACAACUGCAAUACAUCAUAUGUUGCUUGUAAAAGAGGGACGAAAGAUACCAGAGGGACAGUCAAACUCCUAAAUUGGAAAUAAACUGACAACGCCAUGGCUAAAAAUGACAAAGACAAACAGACAAACAAUAGUACACAUGACACAACAUAGGAAACUAAAGAAUAAGUAACACGAACCCCACCAAAAAACUAGGGGUGAUAUCAGGUGCUCCGGAAGGGUAAGCAAAUCCUGCUCCACAUCUGACACACGUCGUGUUCCUCAUCUUAUUACAAAUCCGGUAAAUAGUCUAAUUCGGUAGGUCACAUUCAUGAAAGGGAAGGGGAUUGUAGUUACGACGUAAAGAACAUAUCCGAUAUCAUCUGUGAAACGGUUAUUCCAUAACGGUCAACCACUCGUGAUGCGUACGUAAAUUUACGAAGGGAUGAUUCCAACUUAACCAUUUGGAACUCUUGGUUUAAUAACUUCCUUGUGAGCAGCAACCCUCUAUCAAGAAAAUCAUGAUAGGAAAUACAAGCACGGGAACAUCGUAUCAAUUGGGAGAUAUAUACCCCGUAUGCAGGUGCUGCUGGAAUGUUGCUAGAAAUGGAAAGUUCACAAUUUGAAAGCUGAAAUCAUCUCUUUUGUUGUAAAUUUUUGUUUUCAACCGACCCUCAUUGUCAAUUCCUAGAUGUAAGUCAAGAUAUGAGGCCGACUUAACUGUAUCUGUUGUAUCCUUUAUCUCUACUUCGAUGGGAUAGAUGCGUUCAACAUAGUCACCAAAUUUUGAAUUUUCUAGUGAGAGAACAUCAUCUGUAUGACGGAUAUUAGAGUUAAAGGAUGUUGCUAACUUCUUAUCUUUCUUCCUAAGAAGUUCCUGUAUGAAGUCAGCCUCAUAAUAAUAAAGAAACAAGUCGACAAGAAGAGGGGCACAAUUGGUUCCCAUGGGAAAUAUGAAGCUCAAAAACACUAAUGAAAGCGGUUUCAUUUGCUCAUUGAUUGAUAUACCAUAACCAUGUUUUUUAAAACUUGUCUUAUAUACUACUUACUAGCAUUGAUUGACAAUUGCUAAUUUGGCUGAUAUAUAUAAGAACUGAGCUGGAACAUACAUUUUUCAUUUACAUUUAAAAAUUUAAAAUGAAAUUAGGCGAUGGUAUGGUCGUCAAUAAAACCACAUUUUUAAACAGUCCAAAGACUAAUAUGAAAUAUACACGGUCUCCACGAGGGCGCUUUUAACCAAUCACAUUCCUAGAAAUGUAUAGGAGGUAAGAUAAUAUUCAUUACACUGGCUUGAGCAGGUGCCACUGUUGAGGAACUGUCAUUUAAAGGGAAAAGAAUAAAUCACAUAUAUCUUAAGAUACUUAACAUGUCGUGACAAUAAUGAGAAUGAUUUUUUUCUCACUUCAGCAUGGUUUUGCAAAAAAGUUCCCAAGUUAGCACGGAACUUUCAAUUCAGUUCUACCAGUAUUGCUGUAGAGUCGUCGGUUCAAAGAAAGUAGUGAAGACCAAGAGACAAAUUACUAAUGCAGUGGAACAUAUAUUGACUUUGAAUAAAACAUGUAUCAUGAUUAUUGGUGGUAGCAUAGCAGAAGGCACAGGUCUCAAAGGAAGCGAUUAUGAUAUGAUGAUAAUAAAUGCCUUAUAUCAUGUUUAUGAAAACGAAGCCGAUAUAAAUAUUACAAAUAAACAUAUUCCAUUGAUAAUAAAGACGAAUGACACAAAGCCUGGAUAUUCAAGAAUAAAACUAAUAGACAAGUCAAGGGAAAAAUAAUGCAGACAAUUUUUUGGGUGUAUAGACGAGGAAGGAUUUAUUUCCAGUCAAGUAUUUCUGGAACAAGGAAGGAUUACGAAUCAUGUAAUUCAUGGUCCAUGUCAUUCUGAUCCUGGUGGAAAUUUUGAUGUUGCGUCAUGUUUCAAAUGCGAUAAAUGGAUAUCGUGUGCUCAUCCAUGGAUAAGUAGAUCACGAACGUUAUGACAACCUAUCAGUUUGGUUGAAUCAAUAGUCGAGUAUGGUGUUCAUUUUGCACCUAUAGGAAGUAAAGGAUCUCCGACCAAGAAUAUAGAAUGGCGUAUAUCAUUUGUCGUUGCCGAAAAACAACUUAUUUAUUCUCUUUUGCAUUGUCAAAUACUGUGUUAUUGCUUACUAAAGAUCUUAUUAAAAGAUGUUUAUGAGUUGGGUUAUAUGGAACUUAUAUGUUCGUAUUACAUUAAAACGAUAAUAUUAUGGCUAUCUGAAGAGGUAGAAAGAUCAAAAUGGAAAAAAGAAAACUUUAUACCGUGCUUAAUGACCUGUGUACAAAGGUUUAUCUAUUGUAUUGUGUGGAAUAUAAUACUUGUGUGCAUUACUUUAUCCCCGACAAUAACAUGUUCGAAGGAAGAUUUCGUAAAUGCGACCAGGAAAUGUAUUAUCAGCACUCAAACGUAUUUCCGACUUUGGCUGGAAAUAUUUUCUUCAUACAGAAACAUUUGUUGAGUUUUCAAAAGACUGGAAAUGUCCCCUGUCUUCAGUUUCUUAUCAUAGUACAUGUUUGGCGGUAUCACCUUUACAGUACCUGACAUACAUUUCAUUAUUACAACAUAAUAAAUAUAGCCAAAAACAAGCCAUAAAAUGUAUUACCAAUGCCGUAUAUGGUUCUUUACAUUUACCUGGUAGUCAAAUAUAUAUCAUGCUUCUGUCAAUGCUGAAUCGAAGGAGGGAUCAGGAAACACAUUUACUUAAGUACAAUUCGGAUGAAAACAAAUCAGUUUAUAGACAACAUAAGCUACGAAUGUAUUAUUUACUGCAAGGAACAAACCAUGAUGCUGUUUCUGGUUGGUUAUUGUUGGCAUCGUAUUUUUACGUUAACAAACAGUAUAACAAAUGCAUAUGUGUAAUAAAAACAUGUUUCUCUAAGUGCACAGUUGAAAAAAUUCGUGUGCCAUCUAUCACCGACAUCACUUCGGAAAGUAAAUUUCAAAAUCACAUGAACUGCUACAAAAAGAGUAGAUUCCUGACGACCAGUAAGGAAUGUACCAUAUGGUCCCCUAUAUUUCAGAACGAAUCGUGUCUUUUACCUACAGAGCUAAAACCUUGGAUCUAUGAACAUCCGACUAUUAUUUUUCCAACUGUAUCCUUUGUCCAUUACCUACAUUUUCUCUGUUUACAUCAUCUUAAUGACUUCACAGGAAAACACAAGGCUUUUCUUGAACUCGAAGCAAGAGUAUCAGAAUACCUUACUGAUUAUCCAAACAGUAAAUGUUCUCAAUCAACAAAUGUGGAAAUUCUUUUUCGCAAAGCCAAAACAAUUAAUAAGCUGCAAAAGAUGUAAUGACUUAUCAAUACUUUAUUUUGCUUUAGUAUAAACUGCUGUGAACAUUUCUUACAUGUGUUUUUCUGUUAGUAACUUGUAUGUUAUGUCUGUUGAAUUUUUUUCUAGAUAAAUGUAUGUUUUAAUUUGUAAAAAUGAAUGAAUUCUACGAUAUAAAAUAAUAAUCAGUUUGUAUAAGACGUUAACAGGUUGAACUGACAGCGUCACGAGAAAAGCUGGAUAUUCAUGGACGAAUGCAAUACUAGUUUACAAUUGUUGGGAAAGUUUUUACAAUAAACAAAGUCGAUCGUAAGUUGGAAUUCCAUCUUGCAUCUGGAAACAUUUAGUGGUAUUAAUCAGAGAUGAGAAGACGUGGUAUGCGUGCCAAUGAGACAACUCUUCAUCCACGUGACAAUGUGCAAAAAGUAAACACAUAGGUAAAAGAAUUGCGUUCAAAACACAGAACAGCAAGCUAUAACACGUGUAACUACCACCUGAUUUUCAGAGCCUGCAAUCAAAACAAUAUUAAACGAAGCUGUAACGCAACCAAAAAAUAGUGAGUGUUACCAUAAACAAAAACAAUUCUUUGAACCUUAAACAAGGCUCUCGAUUGGGCAUUUUGUCGAUAACCACACAUCUGUGCUAUAUACUUGCAUGUAACGUUGUAGGUAUGACCUUAUAUGUUAUGUUCCUAAUUUUAGAUCUUUGCAAAUAAACUCAUCAUAGAUACCAGGAUUAAAUUUUGUAUUUACGUCAGACGUGCGUUUCGUCUACAAAAGACUCAUCAGUGACGCUCGAUUUAAAAAAAGUUAAAAAGGCCAAAUAAAGUACGAAGUUGAAGAGCAUUGAGGACAAAUAUUCCUAAAAGUUUUGCCAACUUCAGCUAAGGUAAUCUAUUCCUGAGGUAGAAAAGCCGUACUUAUCAUUGUAAAUAUAACGGCAUUUGAUAAGACUGUCAUCAAAGGGAGAGGUUUAUCGCUAUAAAACCAGGUUUAAUCCACCAUUUUCUACAUUUGAAAAUGCCUGUACCAAUCAGGAAUAUGACAGUUUUGUCCAUUCGUUUUUUAUGUGUUUUGUCAUUUGAUUUUGCCAUGUGAUAAUGGACUUUCCGAUUAGAUUUUCCUAUGAGUUCAGUAUUUUUGUGAUUUUACUUUUUAGUAUUUCAAAAAUUCAUAGGUUUUGUAAACAGUUAAUUUAUAAAUAUGACCAUAUCAUGGUCAUGUCAGCACAGAAGUGCUGACUACUGGGAUGGUGAUACCAUCGGGGAAUUAAAAUCCCAACAGCAGUGACAUCGACCCAGUGGUUGUAAAUAAACUCAUCAUAGAUAUCAUGAUUAAAUACAGAUAUGUAUAUAUAUAUAUAUAUAUAUAUCAGAGCCCAGGUGGUCGUGUGGUCUAGCGGGACGGCUGCAGUGCAGGCGAUUUGGUGUCACGAUAUCACAGUAGCAUGGGUUCGAAUCCCGGCGGAAGAACCAAAAAUUGCGAAAGCAAAUUUACAGAUCUAACAUUGUUGGGUUGAUGUUUAGACGAGUUGUAUAUACAUUAUGUACACAGCCAUGUAUCACCAUCAUUGAUGGGGAUCCGAUGGAUACAUCUGUUGUAGGGUUGUCACUGACUCAGACGUACUUAUAUAUAUAUAUAUAUAUAUAUAUCUGUUUGUUCGUGACGAACCUAGCAAUUACAUGAUGUCGAAAACUAUUUCAUCAUGUUAUUGCCCUUAUAGGGUUUUAAUUGGGACAUCAGUCGGUUUUAUCCAAUUUAAAAUUGAGAAUGGAAAUUUGGAAUGUGUUAAAGAGACAACAACCCGACCAAAGAGCAGAAAACUUCCGAAGACCACUAAUUUGGCUUUUGAAACGUUUAAAACGUUGUAUAAUUUGGCUUUCAAAACUUUUUUCCUCAAACCUCAACCCUACUGGAGGUUUUUGCAAAAACACUUAGCUUAGCGAUUGACUGUUAUCGUCCCGACUUUGAAAAUGUACUAAAACAUAUACCCUCAUGUACAUCGGUUAAAGUUAUUUGGUUUCCAAUUAAAUCUGAAUCUGUCGUAUGCUAUUUUAUGUUUAUAUAUACAAUCCUUUGCUAAAAAUUUUGUUAUUGAAAUUAUUGUAGUUAAUGUAAUGAGGAAGUUUAAUUGUUAAAACUAUUUGUGUAACUGUAAGACAAGAAAUAUAUAAAGAUACAUUGAAAUACGUGCGAAUUGAAACUACAUAUCAGUUCCAAGCAACUACGAAUCAUAAACUGGGUUACAAUUCUUUAUUAAACAGAAGGGACACAUGGUAAGCCGACUAACAAAAGCUAUUCUUACGAUGCUUGUACGAUCAAUUAUCGUAGGUCAGUUGUGUAAGUGGUGUUGGUGUUAACUUCGAAGAAGAUAAAGCUCAAAUCCAGGUUUGAAACAUUUCACAAAAGCAGUAGGGUUGAUAAUUCACACAGACAGAUACCUUAAUUUUGAGUUAUUCGAGCAUUCCUUUCAUGUACAUACGAAAAGGUGGUAUGAUUAUAUAUGAGACAACUCUCCAUCAGAAAUCAAAUGACAUAGAAAUUUAAAACAACCUUAUGUCACUGUACAGUCUUCAGCAACGAUACAAACGUACUUCAAAGGCACCGAACAGAUUAAACCAGAACAAAAUCUAACGACCUAAAUUAUGUGAAAAACAAUGAACAAAAACAAAUAUGAUAUUCAGUUGACAAGCACCUGAAUAACAAUCAGGCUCCUUAUAACUUGGGACAGACACAUACAUAAGUGUAGGGGUUAAACUAGUUUGCUGGCGCCAAACCCUCUAAUCUUGGACAGUUGUGUAACAGUACAAGAUAAUAACUAAAAAGAACAGUUGAAAAGGGUUGAAUAAUCAGAUCGAUAUACAGCUGAAAACAAACAAAAACACACACUAGACAUGAGAGUAUUUAUACAUCAUCUGGCAGCUAGUUCAAAGCCAAUAACAACUAAUAAAAAACUGUGCAUAUAAGAUACCGUUAUUUUCGCGGGUGUAAAAUUUCGCGGCGAUUUUCAUUGAAUAAGGUAAACGAAAUAUUUUGGCGGUUAAUAUUUUGAUGGAUUCAAAACUUAUAUCAAUUCCUUUGCAUGUAAUUUUUUAAAUUGGAGGAAUUUAUUUUGGCGAUUUUGUUCUAUUCGCGAAAAUAAGCGAAAAUUUACACCCUGCGGAAAUAACCCGCUAUACGGUAUAUCAAUCAGUACACAUCAAACUUCCAAUGAAUUGAGUGUAAAGAAAGCAUUUACAGUCAUAGAAAAACAUGAAGUUGCGCAACGCCUAGAUACAUGUAUCGACAUAUUGUAGAGCUAUGAAUGUGCAUAUGGGUAUACCAAUAAUAUUUAAUUUAGAUUUAAUUUACAGAUAGAAAAACCAAUAUCUAUACGUAUAAAAUAAUAUUAAAAUAUCUAGAUACAGCGUUUACAUUAACCUAUUCAAAUUGCACAUACCGGUUUCAAAACCACAGCUGAAAAGCUAGCAAAUACGAAGCCAUAGAUAUAUAAACAAUAUAUAGGAUACAGUAAUAUAAAUCACAUUUAGGAAUAAUGUUGCAAUACAUUUCGAUGAUUGUAUAAUUCCUUGUUGAUGCCUAACAAGAUGUCCUAAAACUUCACAGAAUAUUUUUUAAAAUGAUAUCUUUUUUUCUGUAGACACACAUUUUUCUCUCUCGAAAAAUUAGUAAAACUGGUAGUAACACAUCAUGUUAUUUUCAUACCUUUCCUGCUGUUCACGAUUUCAUCUCAAUUAUGAUUCAUUGUUCCAUGAAGUCUAAAUUAUAAUAAUGUCCUUUAAUUCUGGAUUUUAAUUUUGUUAUGCUGUAAGGUUUAUUCUUUGGAGGUGUAGGAGAUAAAUUUUAUUUUCCAUCAAAUAUGCUCACAAGGUGUACCAUGCAAUAUAGUUCUUAUAUGAAUUUGCAUAUCCGAUGACACUUACUUUGAGACCCAUCAAGAAAAAAGAUCACACUGUCUGAAUUCGCAUUUUUAAGAAAUACAGCAAGAAGUUAUAUGUUGAAUAUUGUGACGUUAUAAAAGUCCAGCUGCUGUGUUUGCUGGCAAAGUCAAUCUGGUUGCCUACUCUUUAUGUACGACGUGUCAACUGUACUUGACAGUUAAAAGUAACUAAAGAUGUUUUGUUUGAAAAUUAUAAAGAUUUAACACAUUUUUUAAUGCUUUCUAAUGUGUAAACUCGGCUGCAGACUGACAAACUAAAUAUAAAAGCCUUCGUCGAUCUUUCUUUUGUUCAGACUGUGUAUUCAACUUGAAAAUUGUAAGAUGAGUGUAAAUAAAAAUGAGUCUAUUAGGGUUUCUAACUUAAUAUAGUCGUCAACCUUGAGAUUUCGCUUUUGCACGGCUAAGAGGUGUUAAGCUAAUAUGUAUUUUUGUUUAAAUGCUCUCUAUAACAUUGUAUAACAAAAUGAUUAUUCCGUACGACCUUACGGCUUGGUAAAUCGUUCAUCGUGUUCAAAAGAGAGAAUACACAAGACCAUAUUAGUCUGCUUCAACACUCAGCAGACCCAUUUAACAAUAGGCUUAUAUAAAAAGAUUCCAACGUUUAUAAUAGUUUUAUAUCGUUUACUUUUUUUCUGAAUGAUAUUCUAUCCGUUAAGUGAUGUCAGUGGUUGGGUCAACAUUAAGACCUCGAAUUUUGGGGUAAUAUUUGAAAAAAAGAAAUUCCUCAAAUUAAUUUAUUGCUUUAUCAUAAAGAUGUGCUUGUAUUACAGGUUUUCAUGAAACUGAACAUUUACAAAAAGUGUUACAAAUAGUUGUUAUUAACUAGUUCGUGUUGACGUUUGUUAUUGUUACACCUCGAUGUUCCUGUCGUUCCUUUUUUCCUCUUAUAGUUUAUGUGUUUUACUCGGUUUUGAUUUGUAACCCGGAUUUUUUUUCUCAAUCGAAAUAUGACUUUUUAACACCGGUAUACAUCUGUUGCCUUUCUUUACAUCUUAAUAAACAUUCGCAGAUUGUCAAUGUAUUUGAAUUUACCAAAUAAUGCACAAAGAUUAAAAGAAAUUAUAAAACAAAUCUUUAUUUGUUCAGUAUCUAUAUCCAACAAAUAAUCUGUCAAACUAAUUAAAAAUUUUCUUCCUGUAUGAUCAUGUGAUAAUGAGUGGUUUUAUGUCCCAUUGUUCCUUAGGUGCUUCACUUUUGUUAAACCAGAAUAUUAUUCGUACGACCUUACGGUUGGUAAUCGUUCAUCGUGUUCGAAAGAGGAAAUACACACAAGACCAUACUUAGUCUGCUUAACACUCAGCAGACCAUUUAACAUAGGCUUAUAAAAAGAUUCAACGUUUAUAUAGUUUUAUAUCGUUUACUUUUUCUGAAUGAUAUUCUAUCCGUUAAGUGAUGUCAGUGUUGGUAACAUUAGACCUCAAUUUGGGGUAAUAUUGA
rnacentral:lncRNA from 1 species